GAAAAUAUGCACCAAGACUGUUAGUGUUAGUAAAAGAUAGCAGCAGACUAAAAGGAUGCAAGAGUGGAGGAUUAUACAGGAAGUAGUCUGUGCCUCCGUUCACCAUAAGCUCAAAACAAAGAGUUGGAAAUCUAUGAUAAAAUUUAUUGAAUUGUUCAAAGUGAAAUGGAGUCUCUUGGCUUUGUCAAAUAUUACAACAAAUCAGGGACUUUUUAUAUGUAUGAAAAGGUUAUAACUUACAGAAAUUUACACUUAAUAAUAACAAUACCAAAAAAGCAACGAGUCUUUGCAAAUUAAAGGAAGCAAAAUACACAUUCUUUAGAGUUGUCACAAUAAAACACGAGAAUAAACCCUUUCCACAUUUUAAAUUAGAAAACUUACCGGACACUCAAGAAAGGAAAUUAAUGUCCAAGUCAAUGUGGCCAUUUGCCUUGGGUGGAACUGACUCACUCAUCUCUUGCACCUUCAUGGUUUCAUCUUUCAAUUUCAAAGUAGUAUGGCCAUUCUGGACAUUGUUCUGAUUCUUCUUUUUGUUUGCUGAACCAAAUGUGGUGGCAAUAGUGUAUUCUCUUUGACUACCCAAACUGUGGCGAUUUCCGUGAUGAGUAGCACCUUUUUCCUUCUCCCCUUGAGUUGAAGCAACUGCAUCACUACAGCUCUUCCUCCGACCUAGCUUUGGAGACUUUGCACGAGUUGGUGGCAUCUGGCAUGCAUACAAAACAGAAUAUCAAAUUUUAAGCAAAAAUGCUCAGAAGAUGCUAUAACUUUAUCAACAAUGAAUCAGACAACAAUUGUUUCUGAUACCUGUUUCUUAGUGAAUUAGCUGUUUGACCAGGCUAAAUGACAUUAAAGAUUAAUAAAAAUCUGCACUAUACCUUUUUCAGCUCAACUUUUGGUGGUGGUCCCUCAUGGUAGAAGCUUGGCAUUGGGCUUGCCUUGAAUGUCAAACUCUUUCUAAAUUGCUUGAUGGCUGCCUCCCUCUCUUCCUUGAAAAUUUUCAAAGUUUUUAUCAGGAAAGAAGCAAAAAGGAAAUAAUAGAAUUACCAGUCUAGGGUUAUUUUGAAUUAUAAUAUUUGCCUCAGACAAUAAACUUGAACUUGUAGACAUGAGAGAAAGAGAAAGAGAUGUAGGUAGCAUGGUGAGUUGUUGCACCUUAGUCCUGGCUUCACUUUGGGUUUUCUCAGCCUCCAGAGCUUGGUGUUUCUCCUCUAGUUUUGAAUAGAACUACAAGAAAACAACAAAUUGACAAGCAUCUGUGUUUCAGAUUUUGCAGAUGCACUUUGGCUAUUAAAGUCAAGGCAGAUGCAGAUAGCAUAUUGAAGUCAAGGCAAUACCUCCUUCCUCUUCUCUGCACGUUCAGAGCAUCUAAAUGUAGGAGCUGAUGCAACAGUUGACUUGGGCUUAGCAGUCCGUGAAGAAUCCAAAGUGCUUUUUACAGUCAAGGGAUAACAUCGGUGAUAUGUGGAAAGGGAGAUGAUCUCAUGCUUUGUCAUGUUCAUGCAGUGUCCGUGUCCCAGAAUACAGGAAUAGACUAUGCAAUCUAAAUGCAUUUUUAAAAUUUUAUAAUGAUAAACAUUUGCAUUUAACUAUGGUCAAGUGCUCAUAAUUUGACAAGUUUUUUCGUUAAUUGAGCAAAGUUUCCUCACAAUUACAAGAGUAACACGUGAACAUUUUAGAAGAUAAUACCAGCGUUCAAGAUACCACCUUUUUAUCAGAAGGUAUAUCAAUUCGAACAGAAGGAGAGUGUGUCAAAGAUGUACAACAAAAAUCAAGUGUAGAAAAAGCAUGAUUGAACUUAAAAUACAGGUAGAAAGAGGAUACGUGGAAGUAACAGAACAAGAUUCAUCAUCAUAAGGAUGCUUCUUGUUAUUUGGUUGCAGAGGCUUCCUCAAGACCAAAAUUGGCUGCUGAAAAACAUAUAAAGACUUCAUGAGCAGCCAUAAGGGGGGGGGGGACACAGAAAGGAAAUUUCUAAGUCUGUAGUUGAUCAAUUCUAUGAUACACCUAACACUGCUGUUCCUAUUGGAGUCAACAUUUCUAUUUCUGAAUUUAUAGUUUAAAAAAAUGAACAAGCUAUUAAUUGUGGCACAAUGUGAUUCCUUCAGGUUUCCAUUAGCAUCAUUUAACCAAAAAUGAUGUCAAAAUAAAUCAAAAUUCCAGAGGAUGAAAAGUUUUCUGAUAUUAUCAAUUAAUAUAGUUGUCGUCAACAAUUUAUACAACUUCUAACACAUAUAAAACUUGAUCAAGGCCUGUGCCUUGUACAAUAGCAUUUGCUUGAGUACAAUUUAUUAUUAUGCAGUUGCAGGGACCAUGGAGUUUAAAGGAGGAGAACAGGUGGCCAAUAGUGAAGCAAAACAAUCAACAGAGAAAUCUUGAUAAGAAAGAUUACCUGAUUCUGUUUUCUUGUAUUUGGAUGAUGUGCACCAUUUGUGUUAGAGGAUUUGUUCACAUCAUUUCCAGCAUCAGAUUCAGCCACAGCAGGACGAGUUACGAAUGAAGCACGCUUUUCAGUAGCAAGAGCAAAUGGCUGUGGAACAGUGUGCUUCAUUCGAACAUUUUCUGCAGCUAGUUUUGAUGCAUGCUUGGGUACUCUUGAUUUAUUAUUCUUUGUUUUGACUCUAUCUUGUUUGACCCUAUCCUCAGGCAGGCCAGCCUCAAGGUUGGAGCUUACAAUGCUCUGCUCUUCCUUACCAUUCUCAAUAUGACUUAGUUCAGAUUUCUCAACUGAGUUUUCAGUAGUGCAUUCCUUCACCUCAUAUUCUUUUGCUUCAGUGCCUUCUUUUGUACCUUGGAGCUCAGGAUCCCCAUUCACAUAUGACUGCAUGGCAUCGUGAUGACUGGGAAAUGUUUCAUUAUUUGAAUCUUGUGAAACACCAUUUGAAUAAACUAUUACACAAUCCGAUUCCUUGUCCAUGCAGAUCUCUGUAAUUUCUACUCCCAUUGAACUGCACAUAUCAAUUGGAACAUCCAUAUUGCCAUCAGUAACUUUGAUGUUAAUUUACAUAAAACCAUCAAAAAGUUCAAUGACAUUAAAUUGAUUGAAAUCAUGCUAUCUCAAAGCAAUCAAUCAAUCAUACAAGAUGCAACGGGCAUGUUAAUUUGCUUCUAGAAAGAUUUAUCUCAUUCCCCCCAAUGAAAGCAGAACAGCAAGAAUAGCAAAGAUUCUAUGAAACCCUGAUACAACAGUAUGACAUCAUUUCUUCAAUAACAAUUCAAAUGGCACAUAAAAAGAAUGCAAGAUAUGAUAUCAGGGGAAAAGAAAACACUUUGCUGUUACAGAAAGACUUCAAGAUAGCAUCUCUCUUCCUCAGCGCCCAAUUAAGUCAUGCUCUCUGAAAGGACUUUUUCAACUACACUCAUUCAUCAAAGCCUAAGCAUCCUCCAUACAACCAAUGGCUUCUCCUCUCCCACAAACUAAACUCAAUUACAGCAGUAGUGAAACUAAUCACUAAAAAGAAAUUAAAGAACCGUUUUGGUGGAAGAUGAAUAGCUCUUUAAGGUGGAAGAUGAAAAGAAAAUGAAGUACUUGCAAUUACCAAAGAUGUUCACAUCAAGCCAAAAAGCAUGAAAAUUGACAAAUAGAAAAUACAUAAUUUCUUUUGAAAAAAAAAAGGCUUCGCCAGCAUGGAAAGAUAACUUUGAUUUCUUUAAGAAAAAGAAGCAACAAACAGAAUCAUUUGUAUCUUAAAACAUGGAGUUAUUAAAGGACAUAAAAGGAAGUAUAAUUAAGAAUAGGGGCAGAACAUUACUCGGAAGUAUGGCGUGCUAAGUCCAUAAUUACAAUAAGAGUCCAAGUAACUAACUCAAUCAUACAACAAAAAAUAAAAAUAAAAUGCAACAAUCAUGGGUCAAAAGCCAUACCAAAAGAAGAAAAAAAAAAAAAAGAACAAUCAAAAUAAUAGUGAACAAGUUUUUGACAGAGCAAAAGAAUAUUCCUAUUAUUUAAAUUUAGAAUCAAGGGAAUUCAAAAAUUUCAGAAUUGAUUCUAAAAUCAAUUCCAUUCACCUGAAGACUGUAAUAUCUAAUCAUAAAUUAUACUAAUGAAAAAAUGAUACAUACAAAAACAUAGCUAAAAUUUGUGUUUCAAUUGAUAUAGCAUCUACUUAAAACACAGAUAUGCACUUAAGGCCUCACAAUCUGAUUCAAUACUCCAAAAAAUACCACCCAAAAAAGAUAAUAAUACCAGCAAUGGUUAUUGAACCUCCAUUUGAUUCCUGGAAAAUCAAGAGAAAAAUAGAAUCUGAAAUGAUUAUGCAUAAAAAAAUCUUGCUUUCUAAGAACAAUCCAAAUUUUCAACUCAACUAAACAGACAACAAAAUUCAAUUGUUUUCACACCACAGCCAUUAAAAUUCAAAUCUAACACUAACCCAACAUUUGUAGCCAUCAAAACCAACCAAACAGAAAAAAAAAAUCAAAAUUUUGUAUUCUGUAAAUGUUGGUUUUACAUUUAUUUCUGUACCAAGUACAAAACAAAGUACAGACUUUAACACCCCAAAGAAAACCAUGACAAAAACACCCAUUUAAAAAAAAAAAACACUACGAAAGAUAUGAUAUCUAAGUUCAGAUCAAACAAAGAAACAAAAGAAAAGGAUAUCUUGAAAUUCAAAGAGGGACAUUCAAAGACAAAGAUUUGAAAUUUAAAACUGACAUUUUUCAAGUGCAUGCAUUGCAAGAAGAAGAAGAGGAGAUCACUAGUUUUGAAGAGUGGCAAAGAGAGUGAGUGGCAAAUGCGGUAAAUUACUUACGUUUUUGGUCCGAUCUAAUGAACAAAUGAAAGCUCUUUGUUUUGCCUUAUCGAGCUGUGUCUUCUAUCUUUGUGUGUUCUGUUUUGCUUCUGUUGGAGAAUGUUUCUGUUAUUUUGAAUUUUUUUUUUUUAAUAUAUAUGUAAGCUGGUUCGUCGGUGCUAACGGUGUUACUUAACGCCGUUAUCUAAUUUUUUAUUUUUUCUUUAAAAAAAAGAAAAAAAAAAAAAAGAAUGGGUUUGAUUCUGAUUUUGGGAUGGUAGAAUCUUUUCAAAAGAUAUUUCCUUAAAUUUUGGCUUUUCAUUUGGCUGCCUUCUUUUCUUUUUUUUAAUUUUGUCGUAAUUUACAAUUAAAAAAAAAUUACUUACCAUAGAGUAUUAAUUUUUUAAUUGGUUUUUGAUAUAUUGUCAUAAAAUUUUUCAUUAUGAGAUUAAAAAAUUUAUAUAUAUCUUAUUUUUUUAUUUUUAAUUUUAUUAAUUUUGUUUAUAAAAUUUACGAUCUUCAACAAUAAUAAUGAAAUAAUUUCUCUUAAUUUUUUAAGUAUUUUUUUUAAGCUUUGGUACAUAUUUUAAGUAUUGUAUUUCUUUUUUUUUUUUGGUCGCAAAGGAAGAGACAAUGAACCAAUGCAACUUAAGAAUUUAUAUUGAGACAAUGACACAUACAUUUAAUUUUAGAACUUAUAAAAUACUCGACUACUUGAGCAAUUAAUUAGUAGCUCAAAUUUAUUAUAAAUUUAUCCAAUUUUAAAACUUUAUUAGCUAGUAUAUAUAUUUAGAUUAGAUUGCAAAGCAAUACAAGCCUUUCACAAAAUUUGUUGAAAAUGGUAGUAAUUGAAAAAAAAAAAAAAAGGAUUAUGGGUCAUUUUAUAUAGGAAUCAUAGUCAAAUUUGUCAUUAUAUUAUGGUCAAUGUUAUUUUAUUAUUUUACUUUAAUUUCAUUUAAUUUUUUAUUAUAUUUUUAAAUAAAAAUUAACGAUAUUUACAAAAAAAAAUGUCCAGUUAUAUUAACAAAAUAAAAUAUUCUAAUUCUGUUAUUUUUUUAAUUUAAAAAUCAAUGAAAUUAAAAAUAUAAAGACAAAAUUCAAUGAAUUUUACUAUGAAAAAAUAUUGAUCUAUCCAUAUUUUAUAUAAUUAGCAAAAAGAGAUUUUAUUUUGAUAUAUAAAGAUUUUUGAGUUAAAGGACUCGUAUGUCUUUCUUUUUCAUAUUAUUUUUUCCAAAAAAAAUGUUUUUUUCAUUUUCUAAUUUUCGAGAUUGAGAAAGUAUGUCCUUGAAGUAAAUGCAACUGUGCAAGUUAUCCUUUCAAUGUCUGCUCUCUUUUUUUUUUAAUUGUAAAGGAAGACUAACGCUUUUACAAGGAAGGAGAGAGACGUCGAGAUCGAACUCAUGCCUAAGUGACUUUCAAUCCAUCUCUUAAUCGCUGGACUAAAAGGAAAAAGUUAAUGUGUGCUUUAUCUAACUCAUCAGCAGUGCUUUCCUUGGAAACAACUUCAAUCAAUAUAACUCAUACGAUCAACAUCAAUUAAAUUCAGGUUAAUUUUUUUAAUUUUUAUACUCACUCUAAUUAAUUAGAUCAAACAUAACCUAUUCUUUUUCCAACCAAGAUUUGUAUAAUCUUAAUAAAAAGCCUGAAUUUUUUUUACUAAUUCGAAACUUAAUUUGUUAUUUAAAACAUCAAAAUUUAAUCCUAAUUAUUAUCAAUCUUAAAUUAUGUUAAGCAUUUUUAUGGAUAAAAAAUUUUUAAACAUAAUUUUAGAGUAUUGGUUGGGGAGUUUAGUUGCUAUAAACACAAUGUAGUUGUCAGAUUCGUCCAGAAGAUGUUCAUAUCUUAACCAAAAAGUUAUGAAAGAGAAGAUGUUUCCAUCCAAGUCAAAUAAUUGUUGAGGUCCCAUCCUUGAUUAUUCCUCCUUAACCCUUUUGAUAAAGGCCUAACACCCUCUAAUUAAUUUAAUACCCACUCCUUUGGCUUGCAUUUCCCAAUUUGACCCAUACCCUUUAAGUUUGGUGACUAAGGGGCUAGCUCUUUUUUUGGUGUCUUGUUAGGCACCAAAAAUGGUCCCAUUUCUCUACUAGUUUCAAGCCUAAUGUAUAUCUCUUUCCUUGCAUAAAAACUUCCUCAUUUAAUUCUUCAUUCAACUAAAAAAAGGUUUAUAUUAUAUGAUUUUUUGAAGCCAAAUUCAUAUGUUUUAUGAAAAUUAUUUUUGGCUUGAAUUGUUAAAGAGGUUUGUCAGUUCAUAUUCACAAAUUAAAUCAGUUCAAUCACACGCAAAACUUUGUAAUUAAACUUCAACUUAUGUUGCUAAAAAUUAAAACUGAUAAUUUAUAUUAUCGUAUCGUGUAAAAUAUUAUGUUUAUAUUAUAUUUUAUACAAAAAAUUAUGUAUUAUAAUUCAUAUCAAUACGUAAAUAUAAAAUAUAAUAUUUUGAUUUUAUUAAAUCUAUAUAUAUAAUUUUUUUAAAAUUUUAAAUCGUGUUAUCUUCGUAUUUUUUAUUCAUAUUAUUUUUUAUCAUGUUACCGUAUCAUAUUUUAAAUUAUCAGAUCUAUUAAAUAUGAUGGUACAAAUGUAUUUUGGUUCUGAUCCUUUUAUCUCUAAUUAUAAGGAUUCAAAAAGUACUUAAAAAGUAAACUCUUCUUUAUUUUUAUUUUUUUUCAAGUAAAGCUAAGGAAAGUUUUCACUUAAAUAUAUAAUUUAUCUUAUAGAAAUGAAUCCCUCAAUUUAACAAAUGUAGGAUUUCUUUUACCUCCAUUUUAAUAUUCCUUCUCGAGUGUAAAAACAACAUACCUAUCAUAUGACAUGAAUUUCACAUAUAGAUAUAAUAAACAUAUCAUAAAAAGAAUGAUAAAUAGAAACAAAGUUUGCUUUGAUACUAUGUUAAAUUCUAAGAUGGAUAUUCAAUUUAAAAUCAGAGACCUGUUUAUAUUUAUUUGCCCAAAUUUCGUCCAAUAUAACUUAUUGUGAGAUUUACUUUAUUUUCACAUCAACACAAUCUUAUCUCAUAUUUUAAGAAUAUUUAUACUUUUUGCUUUAGAAAUCUUAAUUUAUUUAUUGAUAUUAAGAUAUAAAAAAUUUUUUACUUAUAUAACAGAAACACGGAAUUUUAAAUCAUUUGAUAUUUAAAAGCGUGCCUAACUUUGUGGGUUUUUUUACUAAAUAUGAAAAGAAAAUAAAAUAGGAAUUUCACAUUUGAAUUGUUCGUGAAAAAAUUGUGUGGAGCAUAGUUUCCAUACAGUUGGUAGGCUAAAAGCUCUUAUGGUUUGUUGCAUGCAAUAUUUGAUCUCCAGGUAUGUUGUUGGUUAAGAUUAUUGGGGAGGCAAUUCUUGCAAUUUCCUUUUAUGAUUAUGUCUCCCAAAAUCCCAGGUUGUUUCACUUGUAGCCAACUUCCAUUUUCUGCAUUGAAAAGCUUCCUCCAUCUGCACCAAACCUGAAAAACAUGUAUGAAAAAAUUUUCCUUCUGCUUUAUUAAAAUAAUUAGUUAUCAUCAAGACUUGAUACUAUUUCAUUUUCAUCUAAUUAAUAUCAUGUAUUUUUCCCUAAAAUUAAGCUAAGUCAUUGAUCAUAACAACAAUACUCAUCUUAAUUAGGAUUUUAGAGAAAUGAUUUGGAUUUCGAAAUUACGAAAUUUAUAGUUAAUAAAAUUAUUAUAUUAUUUACAACGAAAUUAGUAGAAUGAUUCGUAAACCUAUAAGUAUAUCUUAAUUUAAGAUGGUAGAUCAUCAAAUAAUUAUUUUAAUUAUUAAUGGAUUUGAUUUCUAAAAGUUUUGAAGUUUGAAAAGGUGCAUCAAAAUAUUAUUUUUAACAUGUAAUUUUUAAUAAAUUUAAAAUUAAAAUUUCAGUAUCGAAAAUUCUUUCUCUAUCAUCACACUACAAAUUUUUAAAAAAAAUGUGUUAUGAUGCAUUAGAAGGUUGAGUUUGAUAUUUAGAGAGGGAAUUAGGGGCAAUGAUAGAUAAGUAAGAUUAUGGAGCAGAUAUGGAAGGCAGGGUGAGCCCAUGGGGGAGCAUCGGUGAGCUGUGAAACUAUGACUUUAGGUGUAGGGAGGGUGGAAGAAGAAUAGAAGCGAAGUGAGUGGAGUAGAAGGAAGGGUAAGGCAUAAAAAUAGAGCAAUGAUAGAGUGGGAGCCACAUAUCCACCCUGUAUCAGGCCUUUUAAUCUUCAAUUUCAAGUCAAUGAUUGAUCAUCUUCAUGGGUCCCACAUCCUAGAUUGUACAUGCCAACGGCUAUGAUUGAUGACCAUCACCUCUAUUGCUCUAUCAUCAGCCUCUCUUUCCUUGUAACUACUAUCGCUUGAUUUGGAGAUUGGCAAUUGAGAGGUGGAAUCUAGUCACUUUGUAUGGUAGCAUUUAAACUCAAAUUCUUUCGAGGUAGGUUUGGAUAAUUUCAUAUUUUGAUUAUUUCAAAUUUGAAUAUUUAAUUAUUAUAAUUUAAAUUAUUGAGUCUAAGUCAUUGAACUUUAAAUUAUUAAAUUUUAAAAUCAAAUUAAUUUAAAUUUAAAUUACUCGAAAUUAAAUUAUUUUAAGCUGAAUUCAUUUAAAUAAAUUAAGUAUAUUUAGAUUACAAUUACAUGUUUUAAUAAGUCAACUUCGACCAAAAUCAAUUCCAAUGAAUUUAAAUAGUUUUUAAAUUCAACUCAAUUUUAUUAAUUCUUUCAAUCGUAUUUAAAUGAUUUAUAUAUGUAUUUUUAUUUUUAAAAAAAUCAAAUUUGAAUCUCUCAUUUUAUUUUAAAAAAUAUUAUUUUCUCAAUUAAAAACUUAAAAAGAACAAAAGUAUAUAAAAAAUAAAUACAUAAAAUUGUUUCAUUUUAUUUAUUUUCUUCAACUAUUUAAUUAAUAAUCUUCUUUCUAAUCUUUUAAUCAAGAAUAAAGUUUAAUUUCAAAUCAUGAUUGACUCGUUAUAAAGUCAAAUCAUGAUCACGUUUUAAGUGAAAUUCUUACAAAUAAAGUAUUUUAUUGUAAUUUUUUCCCCUUUCUAUUUAUAAAACUAGUUCAAUUUUUUGUUAUUCAUUCCAUGAGGUGAGGAUUUUCUUGUUGUUUUAAUAUAUUUAUAAAAAAAAAUUUAAUCAUAAUAAUAAUAUAAUUAAACAACUUAUGUAAUACUAAAUCAAAGGUAAUUAUUCUAAAAUAUUGGCUUUUCAGAAUUAUUGUGUUAUGUUUAUUUAAAUCCCUUUAUCUUUAAAAAAAUAUUUUCUUUUGUAUAUCUUAAUAAAUUUAAUAUAAAUCUAACCAUAUUUUGUUAAUUAUGAAAAUUAAAUAUAUUGAAAAAUAUUAUUUAUAAAUUAUAUAAUAUAAAUGUAUUUAACUUUUAAAAUAUUUAUACUUAUUAUAUAAUUUAACAUAUAUAUUAAUAUUUGUGAUUUAAAAAAUAUAUACAUUUUUUAUGUUGUCAAAAUUUUUAUUGAUAGUGACAUAAUUGUAAAAUAAAAUUAUUAUUUAAAAUGGACCCUUAAAACUAAAAUUAUGAAUCAAUUAUUAAUAAUAAAUAUCAAUUUUUUUAUAUGAUAGAUUGUGUUUUAACGUAUAUUAUUCUAUUAAUGUAUAUUAGUAUUCAUGAUAUAAAAAAAAUGUAUUAAUUUCCAAGUUUUCAAUUUCUUUUAAUGAUAGCAAUGUAAUUUUGAAAUAAAAUUAUAUAUAAAUUUUAAAAUUUUAAAAUUAUUAUUAAUAAAUAUCUAAUUUUAUAUGAUACUUUAUUUUAAAUGAUUUUAUAUAAAUAUAUUGUAAAACAAAUAAAGAAGUGAAGUCCUCAUCAAACAAAAUUUAUAUGUUUAAAUUUUUUUUAAAAAAUUAUAUAUAGCAUGUGUCAAUCCUCAUUAGACAAAUGAGAAUUAGCUAAAUAGGGUAUUAUUAGGAAUGAUAAAAUAUUCGAAUUUGACACUUUCAAUCCAUUCUAAUUUAAUAAGAUUUUUCUUUUUUAAAUUAAAGCCAAGUCGAAGACGGGACAAAUUUGAAAAAUAAAUCAAGAUCAAUCAAAAACUGAUUUAUGGUACUUAGUCUCGACCCAUCUUGAAGUAUAUAUAUAUAAAAAAGGUUGGAAUUGGUAUGAAAAAUAAUAACACAUUGUUAGGUCAAGUGCAAAAUCCAAUGUAAUUAUCAAGAAGUUAGGUCAAAAUUAAAAUGAGUAUAAACUCGUUCCAAUCCAAUCCAUUCCCAUAUGCAUUAUAGUAAAUCAUCAUGUGCUUUGUUUUUAUAUAUAAGCAUGAUGUAUAGAAUGAUAACCCAUUGUAUUUAUAUUUAUAUUAUAUUAUAUUAUAUUAUAUUUAUAGUUUAUUUUAUUCAUUUGAAAAGUUUUUUAGAAUAUAAUUUAGAAAUAAUGAAUUUCACCUAUUCUAAAACUCCAACUUAAUUCUUGAAAAAAAAAAAACCUCCAACUUAAUUAUAAAUGAAGAUUUUAAGUCUCAUUAUAUAUGUGAAUUUAGUUGUUUAAUUAUAUUUUAAUUUGUUAAUUUAUUAUUCAAUUAUUGAAUUUAAUAUGAUACAAUAAUUAUUAUUUAAUUGAUUAUACGAAUAUAAUAUUUUUAUUACGAUUGUCUUAAAAAAAUUUAGACUUAACAGCAUUUGGGAUCUUUCCCAUUCUUUCGUUUUCCUCUUGUGCAUUUAACUCAUGGGAUUGGGAACUAUGCAAUUAACGGUGAACUCUUAAGCUUUAUUCAACCAAUUUACCUUUUGAGACUUUUAAAGACUGAAAGUUACUUAGAAGAACCUUGUGAAGAAAAAUAAAAAUGAACCUUCUUUUGCAGGUAAACUAGAGAAGUUAAUUUUGCUCCAGCAAUAAGCAAUAAGCAAAGCUAUAUCUUGAAAAUUUUAGAAGAUAUUUCUUUUACCUAAUCUUUUUAGUGUUAGUGACAAGAGCCAAAAAGUUUGAAGGGACAAACAUCAACUUCCUAGAGUAUAAUCUAAAGGGAUAAUGAUGCUUAAAAGUGGAUUAAACUAAGGUAAUUGCUGAACUCAAAUGUGAAAGUGACAUUCAAUCACUGUGAAAAUAGUAAAAAUACAUGGUCUUUUAUGUUUUUUAACGUGCUCAAUUUAACUUGAAAUGUUACAAUUGGAAGUUAAGUUUCAUAAAUUGAUCAUCAAGCUUGCUCAAGUUAAAAAAUUGGCUCAUUUGGCUAAACUCAACUCUAGAGGAAAAUUAAACAAGUAUAAAGGAGAUUAGUUUUAUUUUAUUUUCUUAUUUCUUUAUCAAACAAGUAUUAAAAAUUGAUUAAAUUGAACUCAAAAUUUAAUAUAAGUGAUUCAUGUAAAUAUUUUUAAAAUUUUUCUCCUAUUUUCAAAUUAUGACUUUUUUAUAAAAAAAAUAUUAAAUUACGCUUUAAAAAACAAUUAAAAAUUAUUCCAAUUUUGUGCAAAACAAUUGGGCCGUGUCGAGACAAGACUCAAACUAAUUCACUUAUCUUCCCAAUUAACCAAAGUCCAUGGUCAACUCAACAACACGAUUUGCUUCUUAAGCCCAAAGAUCAGCACACAAGUAAACACGUGGCAUUUUUUCAUUGGACUCUACCACCGUAAUUUCCCUAUAAACCAACCCCCCCCCCCUCUUGUAAUCCAAAAUUACGUUUCACAAAACCAACUUUCUCCUUAACUGAAUAACCAACUUUUCCCGCCAUUUUCAGAGAAUUGAGCCCUAAGGUAAUCAAUGGAGUCGAAUAUUGCAGCAGUAGUUUCAGAGAGCCCUAAGGCCAAAGAAGAAGCCAAGAACGAGGAGAUCCUCACCGGCAGCGACGGCAACAUCAAGAACAACAAGAAGGCAGUUGUUGUUACUGUAGUUGCUAUUGCUGAUCAUCAUGGCAAGGUUGCUUCCAUCACUUCUUCUGCAAAAACUGAGUCACCCCAAGAGAUUAAGAAGAUGAUGAAGAACAACAAGAAGAAGAAGAACAAGGUUCAAGUCUCCAAUACCAAGAAACCCUUCAUCUUCUAUCUCAAUCUUGCCAAGGUAAAAACAUUGUAUCAAUUUUGGUUUUUUUCUUGGAGUUGAAGUUGAAAUUUCUUUGUUUUUAUUGGUUUUCUAUGCUUUCUUGUAUAUGUUCUGAAAUGGGUUUUAGUUAUUUCUGUCUAAGGUUUCUUUCUCUGUUUUUUUAUGUAUGUUUGGAAUCAUAUAUCUUCUGUUUCUUUGCAAUGUAGAGUUAGGCUUCUUGGUGCUUAUUUGUUUUCUGAUGUUUUCUUAUGCUUGCAAUUUGUGGUUAGUUUUAGCGUAGUUCUUUCCCUUGAAUAUGUCAUGAGAUCUUUAAUAUUUUUGCCUCUAAUAAUCAUUUGAUAAGGUCUUGCUAUAACAUACUAAGACUCGGUUGUUGUGAUAAAUUUUGUUGUGUUUUCAUUCGUCAAUUCACUUUUAAACUUCAUAUCUUCCUCUAAUUAUCACUUUAUGGGGGGGAGGGGGUUAUUUCUCUAAUCAAAUCUUAAUCUUUGUUUUGUUGCAGAGGUACAUAAAUGAGUGCAAUGAGGUUGAGCUCUGCGGCUUGGGGAUGGGUAAAAAUUCUUUGAUCCUUUUUCUUUUCUGUUUUAGUUUUGUUUAUCUGUCUUUUCUUCUCUUUCUUAUGCAAAUUGAAUCCUUUAGUUGAAUCUUCUUGUAAUCAAACUGGAUCAUCAAUUUUGUUUAUAACUACUACAUGCUUUUUAACGGUACCCAAUCUUUUUCAAGUUUUUUCUUUGAGCAUUAAUUGGAUUUGUCUUACAUAUGUAUCAUUCUUUUGGAAAGAAAAUGGCAUGCUUGUGUCGAUGACUGAAAUUGACAGACAUUUCAAAUUCACCGGUAGAUUUUCCUAUCCAAUGUCUUGAUAUAUAAAGCAGAAAAAAUAGGGUCUUGAUCUGUCCUCAAUUACUUAUGCAUCAAAGGUUUAUGCCUUGGACUAUAUGGCAAUAGAAAUCCUGUUAUCAUCGGACUAUUUGCUGAUAUGUAUAGUUAUUUUACCCAGCUAUUCCUACUGUUAUCACAAUUGCUGAGAUUCUGAGGCGAAAUGGAUUGGCAAUCCAGAAAGGUAAGAAGCCUUGAGUAUUUUAUUUUCGUACUAGGUGGUAUACUUCAGAUGUUGUCACUGAUUCUGAUUGUUUGGAGAUGCAACAGGAAUAAUGACAUCAACUGUACUCAGCGCCCAGGAGGAUAAAAAAGGUCGUCAGAUCGAGAAAGCCAAGGUUAUUGCCCUUGCUUCUAUUACAGGGUGGUUUUGCAUAAUUUGGUAUCCUCAACAAGUUUUUUGCUUGUCCAUGAUAUCUGCCUAAUUCUCUAUCUGUGUGUGUCCUUUUUCAAGAUUGAGAUAGUGCUUGCAAAAGCUGAGAAACUUGACACGACCAAUCCGACUGUAACCCCGACGAAGGCUGCUGAUCAGAGUUCAUAACAAAGCAAUAGUAUUUGAAUUUCACUUCUAUAGCAUGAUCUCUCCCUGUUUUCCCCACCUUCUAACUGGAACUGCAGUUGCACGAACAAGGAUCAGUUUGGUUGGAGAUGGUCCAGCUGGACUUUUCUGUAUGGUUUUUCCUUUCAUCGUCCGAGUUAACACUCUAAUGUAGUAUCAAUUUACUGUACAUUGUACACAGCACGUUUAAAGAGAAUGAGUUUCAGAAUCCCUCUCUCUAUUUCUGUUGAACAUCAUUUUGACUUUGAGCAAGGAUAUUGUCCUCUCAGUACUACACAAUGAUCGGCCAAAUUCAUACAGAAGAACUGCUAUUUUCUUAGCGCUGUUAAACAGCUAAGAAAAAUGGUUAUGGCAUAUGAUAAAUAUGACCAUAUAAUUGCAGCAGAAAAAGGAAUAUAAGAUGGAACUAUAUUGCUUACUGGAAUAGCAUAAUGCACUAGGAAAUUAAUCUAUCCAAAUGAAACUCAUUUCAGAGUUGCACUUAAAAGACGGCAAGAUUGACUUGAAAAACAAAAGGGGCAAGGAAAUGAAUAAGGAUGAAAAAUGAAACUCUUUUGACAGUUUCACUCAUAGAAAGUACGAUCAAACUAUAGCGCUGUAAUAAAGAGAAAGAGCAAAUAGUUAAUCUACAGGUUGACCAAUGGCAGAAAGGAAUACAGCUAAAACACUAUUUAGUUGCAUUCAUGAAUUUCAACCACAAAGUAACAUGACAUGGAAAAUCUGAAUCUUGAUGAGUACAUCCUACAAAUGCUGCAGUCUACAUUUCAGUUUCUCUUAAAGAUUCAAUUGUUCUUAGUAAAGCUUCAACAGCUCUGGUGCUUUUGGCUAUGUGCUGGUUAACAGACAUCUUAAGCAGUAGCUUUAUAAAGUGUCAAAUAGUACAGACGAUCCAAAGUCCUUAAUUCAGCCUUCUGAUAUCAAAUCUCAUGCGAAGCCCCUCGAAACAAUCCGCUUCUCUAAGCUCUGAGUCAGAAUACUUGGUUGAUUGGUAAUAAAAGAAGAACAGAAACUGACACACACACACACACACACACACACAUACACACAUACAUACAUAUAUAAAUAUAAAUAUAUAUAUAUAUAUGAUUUUCAAAAGCUUCACAAAACUCUUGGUCAGAUCAACCUCUCUUAUUAUAAACAUCAAAGUUAUGAAAGAAAAGAAUACUGAUAAAAGAAUUUUGAUUAAUUGCAUUCUUCGCUUCAAACUUACUAAAUAAUUCAACUGGGAUCGAAGGAAAACGUCUAUGAUUUGUCUGUAUUAAGACUGCCUCCUACUGCAAGGUUCAAUUUAUCAUUAUACGGUUUUUACAGCUCAGAAACUUUUUCUUCAUAGCCAUGCACAAACCUCUGAAGUCACAAACAAUAUAUUUAACCCCAAUUCCUUCUUAAGUAAACCUUUUGACCACAGAUCUGAACAAACAAAUCCCUUGGCACAAUUCUCUUCUCCAUGCUCAAUCCUAGCAGACGAGGAUGUUUGGCAGCGAGUGAAGCCUGGAAUCCCAUUUCAUUCAGAAGAAAAUCCAUCACUUCCGUAUUUUUAUCCUCGGCCGUUGCCAUAACCAGAGGAUGAUUCCUAAAAGCCUCUAAAAUCUCUUCCUCAGACCAACCAUACUUCUUGUAAGCAUCAAAUUUUCUCUCCCAAGUGGAUUUACUCAAUGAACUCAAUACAUAGAGAGCUAAAACAAAAGUAAACCUCUUGGGAUUUAACCCCAUUUUCUUUACUUUCUCUACUUUCUCUUCGAACUGAACUGGAGCAGAGAGUGACUUAGGAACCGGACGAAGUCCUUUAACUAUAAUAUAUUCGUAUCUCGUAAAUAUGAGUUUAGGGUUCAGAUCUCUAUAUUAUAUCAUAUAAAAUCCACAAUUAAUUAAUGUCCUCACAUUUAAUUAAUUUAUGAUUGGAGACGUAAUAAUCUCCCCACUAAUAUAGAUUUAAGUCUAGAAUUUAUAUUUGAUAUUAUCCCUUAAAUAAAUAUACAAAAAUUAAUAUUUUUUAAAAAAUUUAUUCAUUAAUGUGAUGGCAUCAUCUGAUUUACUUUAUUAAUGAGAUAGUAUCAUUCAAUUUACUGUACAUCAAAUAUAAAUCCAUAUAUAUAUAUAUAUAUAUAUAUAUCACAUCCUUACACUUAACCAAAUUUAGAUGUCACAAUCUUUCCAUUAAAACUUGACAUUCUUAUCAAACUCAACAAUGAUGCUCUCGCAAGUAUUAGUUUAAAUUUCUGCAUUAUAUCAUACCCUCACACCUAACCAAUGUAGGAUUAGAAGUGCUACAAUCUUCUCAUUAAAACCUGACCAAUGUGGGAUCAGGGGUGUCAUAAUCUCCUUUGUUAAAAUUUGACGUCUUGUCAAACUCAGUACAGAAUCAUAGCUAGGAUCACACUAGACGUUGACAGCCUUAGAAUUUUAGAGGUGACUCUCAUAAAUUAUAGAAGUAGUUUCCAUGUUGUAGUAUUUAACUCCCAAACUUUGGGCUGGUGAUUGUUAUGAUGUUAUAUUUAUAGAAACCUAUAUCCAACCUACUAGAUAUUAUCAUUUUAACUUGAAAAUCUUAUGAUUUUUUUCUCACAAAAAAUGCAUAUAAGUAUAAAUUUAUGCCUCUACAUAUAUAUCUAUCUUUAACUAUUAUGGAAUUAGAAGCGUCACAAUUUGUUUUCUUGAGAUCAUCAGUUAAAGUUGGAGGCUUGGAGCCAGACAAUUCUAGUAUUGUGUUUGUUUAUUUUGUGUUUAACAUGUAUAAACUAUGAAAAUUAUCAUAGUACAAUAAUCAAACACAAAAUAUAUAUAUUUUUAAACAAACCUAUAUAUUAUUUUUGUUAAAAUUUUAAAUUUCGUUUAGUCGAUGACUCGGAACUUUAACGGAGUUCUUGAGCAGGAAGAUUCAGUUUCUGUAUUUCAGUAGAAUAUGAAUCCAAUAGUUUAAGCAUACAGCUCUUCUAAGACUUGGAGUUCCUUAUCUUUGAAAUUAGAUUCUGAAACAUGAUAUAGUGUUCCAUAGUUCUGAAAUAAAAUGCUACCGUGCAAUUAUUCAUAUCAAAGUUGUUUAUUGAUGGCAAAGAUUGUUUAUUCAUAACAAAGUUGUUGAUGGCAAAGAGGGGUGGAGAAUACAGCAUUAACCUGUAUAAAUACCUUAUACCAAAGCAGCUGGUUUACAAAAACCAUAAACAACGCAUCAGUGCAAUGACAACUUGACAAGGGUUAGUGCCAACACCUUCACCCCAUUUGCUAUGUCCUCAGUGGAGGCAUAUUCUUCAGGCUUAUGGCUGUAUCCUGCAAAAGCAAUAGAUUUAAUACAUUUUAGCCUUUUCUUUUUUUUAUGAUCAUAUGCACAAAAGCUGCUAUUAUGCCUAGCUACUGUUUCUCAUAUUGAUUCUCUCAAAAUACAGUGGCAUUUGAUGUCUGGUUUAAACCAAAAGCUUCCUUAGGCACCUAAUUUAAACCAACGGUGAUGUAGAACUUGUUAAUUAAAUGACAUUAAUAGCGUUCUGCUAUACUGUAAAUACAGUAAAAUCAGUUGAUUUAGAAGGAAAAAGUUAAAUUGAUGCUUAGAUGUAAAUAAUGCGAAUCAUACCUUUGUAACAUGGAAUGAAUAUCAUGCCCAUAGGAGAUAUCCUGGAGGAGCAUGAAAUGCAAACAUCAGCUGCAACUUAUAGUAUAUAAUGAUGAUGAUAAUGAUGAUGAGAGUGAAUUGUGAAUCCUUUGACAUGUUUACUUGUGUAACCAUAGCUAAUUGCUCCUCUUGUGACUAACCACUCAACUAGGCCUUUUUCCUUAAAAUGAAAGUUCACACUCAGGAAAAGUAUCCAGAGUCAGGAGCUUUUCUUCUCUAUAUGGACAACCAUGCAUGUUCCCAGCUUAGGAGGAAGGGCAGGAUCACGAGAAUUCCAGCACCUUUCCAUGAGAGCAUGCAUGCACCAGAGCCAUCUGAAGAAAGUAUAAUCUAGCAGAAUUCAGUAGGUCUCAUAUUCUCUAUGAUUCAAUAUCUUGGGAUGCUAAUGUUGAGUAUCCAAUCUUGUAUUAUUCUCCUAAAUUUUACAAUCUAAAAGAUAUGGAAACAGCAUAGUUUCAUAUUUUAGGACAAUUCUUUUCCCCAUACCCCCUCUUCUUCUGUAUUUCAUAAAUUACGAAUCUGAUGAGUCCAGGGACCUGAUAUUCAGCCCUGCGCAACAUAUAGAGUGGUGCUUGCAAAAGAUUUAGUUGAGAAAUAUCUUUUUGUUAAAUGUAUCUCCUUUACCUUGCCAUAAACAGUGAAUCAUGGUAAGCUCUGCUAAUCAUAAACUUUUGUGUUAGGUUCAGCUCUUUUGAUGCAGCUUCCAUUGCUUCAAUUAUUGAUUUUUCAGAAAGGACUGGUGGGUCCUGAUUUAUGAUAUUGAAUUCUGAUAGGGUGACCUUACGCUUUCUGGCAAUAGUAAUCGCAGAUUCAUGGAUUUUCUGGAUAACAACAUUUCUUCUCUUUUCAUCAAUAUCUCGUGUGUCUACCAAAAAGAUGAGUAAUAAGAAAACAAAACAUAUCAGAUGAUCAGAUAGUAAUCCAGAUACAGCCCAGAUUAUCCAAGGGAGAGGUCAGACCUCAUACAUGUGAAGUAGUAAAUACAAAUUUCAGGAAAAAAUAAUUCUAUCUUUUUGGUAGUAGGGUUUUUUGAAAUGGAUUAAGGACAAAGGAACAACUAAUGUAUUGCACAGAAAACCUGUGAGAGACUAAGAUUCUAAGACAAAACUAAAGUUCUCCUGGAAGAAUACUCACAAACAUGACACAUACCAAUUUUGAGGUGUGAUUUACUAGGGAUGCUGUUGAUUGCUCCUGGGUGCAGCUCUAAAAUUCCUGGGAAAAUAGAUAUUAUCAAUUUAAAAAAGGUUCACAAAAAUUUAUUCAGAUGAAAUAGAGGAAGCUUAUUUAAAUCAAAAGAACUUUGCAUGAGAUCAAAUGAGGAAAACAAAAAAUAUUUUCUCUGGACUUACCUACUGUACCAACAGUAUCAACUGAUCCAGAUUCCAAUACAUGUUUCUCAACAGCUAGUGCUAACUCAGCAGCUGCCAGUCCUGCAUCAUUUCUGCACUUUAUAAUAUAUUUACAGGUUAUGAAUCUUUUAGACUAAAUAAGCAUUCUAGCAAAGGUAUGACGAGGAUGAUCUAACACACAAUCCAAAUCUAAUUCAACCAAAUUACUGACACAUGCAUAUAAAUAUAUGAAAUAAGGAUGAAAGAUCAGCACCACUGAAACACGAAAGCUGCAGAAGUUGGCAUUAGUAGUUAUUUAACUCUGAAGCAUUUAGGAAAGAAGAAUUUUGCUAUUGGUAAUAUUCACCUGUUUGGCAUCAAGACUGCACCUGCAUGGCCACCAUUGCCUUCAAAAUCAACUUUUAUACUUGCGGGGGCUGCAAUGGCAGUUACUAUACCAAUAGAUACACCUGAAUUUGAGGGAUAAUGCGGAUUUAGCAGAUCCUUGGCUAUUGCAAGAAAGAGACAGCAGUAACAGUCAAAAGUGAGAUACCUUCCUCCUCAAGAAUGGGCCCUUGCUCUAUAUGCAACUCAACAAAAGCAGAGUAACUGCCUUUCUUCAGAAACACACUGGAUAAAUUAUCUUCAUCUCUUGCAUAUCCAGCAGAUCUAGCAGCAUCUAAGAAGGAUAUGUUUUGGCCAUCAACCGUUGUCUUCAAAGCUUUAGCAAGAGCUACAUCACCUGCCAAUAAGCGGCUGCAUGUUGAAGAAACAUAUCAGAGACUUAAAACCAGAGUCAAGAACCCAGCUAUGACACGUAAUAUUUUUAAGUUUAAUCAGUGCAAGUUACAACUUAAAUCUGCAAAAAUAAGGUGACAGAAGAUUCAAACAGGAAAUAAACCAAAAAAAAAAAACUGUGCAUGCCUACUAUGCAGUCAUACAACCUUCCCAAACAGCUGAUCCCAAAGCGUGUUGGCUCUUCGGAAGUGAACAAAAUUAUCUCCAAUGACCUUUUAGGUUUGAACCCAGACCUAAGGAAGUUUCAUUAUCAUGGGACAAAAAUUUUAGCCACAAUGCAAUAAGCUGGCAGAACAAAGAUCUUAACAAAAACUUAUACAUUUAUCAAAAUGAAUACCUUUCUUUUUUUUUGGUAAAAAAUGAAUAAAUAUAUUUUAAAAAGCGAUGUUUGCAUUAGGGAUGAAUGAUUUUAAAGGUUCAACUUCACAAGGGUGAAAAGUCACAAACCUCUUUAGUGCAUUAAUGGCUUCUAUUGCACCUAAAACACCAACAACACCAUCAUACUUCCCAGAGUAUGGAAUAGCAUCAAUGUGAGAACCUGUUGCUACUGCAGUGAGCUCUGGUUCAAAGCCAUCCCUGCAUGGUAAAAAGCAUUUAAAGAAUCAAAAUGGAAGUAACCGAACAUGUGAUCCACAAAAAUGAAGGUCUAGAUAUUAAUAUAAGCUUGACGACCAAAUGUAAAUGAGAAAUCUAGUGAGAGGGAGAGGAAGAGCAGAUAUUAGUUUGGUGACAUGGUGGUGAUGCGAGGAAACUAAGAGGACAACAAAAACAAUCAUGGAGCUCUUUGCAAAACAGAGAAACAGCUAGUUAUUCUUAAAGCUCGCAAUUACUGACCUAAAGAAAGAUGCAUUUCAUCAUCAAUAAUUAACAAUAGGUGGGUGGUACAAAACCAUCAACAUAGUGCAACUGGACUAAUAAAGAUAAAGCCCCAUUUGACAUUCAAACCAUGAUAGUUAAAGAAGCAGAGAGAACCAAUCAAACAAAUAAAUAGAGAACUAUGCAGGAAAAGUAAUGCGUAUACAGGAAAAAUAACGAGUUAACAUAUUACACAUAUAACAAGAUACCUAACUCACAAGAAUGCUGAUGCAAUCCCUUAUGGGAAUAAUCAACAUCACUAAUUGAGGUGGUAUAAAAUUACUAGCAAUAAAUAAUAACAAGAAUAAUAUUAAUUAUAUGGGAAAAAUAGACAAUGAAAAUGAAAAACAAACCUACCACCGACCAAAUAUGUUACCAACAGCAUCCUCUCUCACGGAAAGCCCAGCGAGUCCCAUCAAAUUUUUUAUGUACCUGUAGUUAAAAUGUUGCAGACAAUUUACACAAGGACACAACUAAGGUUUAAAAAAAAUGAUAAAAUUGGAAGCACAUACAAAUUAAAAAACAUUGUGCCAAGUUCUAUGCUCCUAUUAACUUCAAUGAACCUGAAUUAUAUAUACAACUCAGCUCAACUAAGCCUUCAUCCUUGUUGUGGUAAAAAGAAAAAGAGAACCCUUCAUCACAAACUAAUAUGCCUAUUCGUUUACUGCGAUGCCUAUUAGUUCAAUGCUACUUAUAAUUGCUCCUAAAGACAUUCAGCAGCAGCAGCAGUACUCAACAAAAUAAAAGGAUUCAGUCUUUUAAUCAUCGGAAAAAACAAGAAAUGAAACACUAUCUUUACAUUACCUGCGAGCCAAUACAUCUUUCUCAGUGUAGAGAACCCUAGUAACUGAAGGGGAAGAUGUAUCCGAGAAAGUUGAUAGCUCAUUGAUCUGAACAAACCCAUUUCACAACAUUAAACCUCAUAAAACAAAAAACCCAUCUUUAAAACAGCUCCCAACAGUCCAAUAAUAAUAAAAACGGAGAGCUUGGGGGGAUUAAAAGUACCUGUUUCUGAAGAGUUUGAGCAUCAACUGAAAGUGAGUUUGAUAUGAAAGAGUGAGGUGGUUCAUCAACUGGAUACCCAGAGAAAUCAUGCAUGGUUUUGGCUGUUGGGUCUUCAUUGUGUCGGGUUAAGAUAGUAGGAAUGGAACAAAAGACGAAGAGAAAGACAAGAGGUAGAGAGUGAGAGUAAGAGAAUCUCAUAGACAUCUUUUUUUUUCCUGGUUAUCGGAGUACGUUGGAUGGUUACUAAUGUGAUUAGCUUAUUAUAUUUGGGACUAUGAUUGAAGGCAGAGCUGGUCGCGUGACAAGUGCAAAUACGACGUUGCUGCCCUCCGUUGUUUUAUGUUAAAGAGAUCAAUUACGGGUUUCAACUUUGAACAUACUAAAAGUGGAAAUCAGUAAAUUCGUUUUUUAUAAUUAUUGAAUAAAAAUUAAAAGUACUUAAAAUAAAUAUUAUAAAUUAUUAAAUUGAAUAAGAGUAAUUAUUGAAUUAUUGAAUUUUAUUUUUUAAGGACUUUAAUUUUUUAAUUUACGAAUUGAUGAGAUUAUAUUAUUAACAAUGUAUAAGAUUUAUAUAUUAUUAGUUCAUUAACUAUAACACUCGAAUAAAAUAUGAAAAUUUUAAAAUUAAUAUUCAAAUAUCUCUUUUAUUAAUAUAAUUUAUUAAAAAUAAUUAAUACUUACCAAUAUUAAAGUUAAUAUGAUAGUUUUUCAUAUUUUUAUUUUUUAUUUAAAGUAAUUUACUAAAAAGUAAAUUUUUAUGAAAAUAAGUUGUUUUUAAUAUAUGGAAUAAAAUAAUUAAUUAAUUAAUUAAAACUAAUAUUUAAUAAAUGAUUAAUUAAAAAAUUUAUUAUUUAGAAUUCAAUUAUAUAUAUAUUAAAUUCAGUAUGAAAAAAUCACAAAUUUAUUAUUUAUAUUACUUUUAAUUUUUUAUUUACAAAAAAAAAAAUUCCAAAGAUUUAUCUUUAAAUACACUAAAUAAAAGAUUGCAAGAUAAGUUUCAUCUUUUUUUAAAAGGAAUUUAUUUCAAAUAGCAGCAGCACAAGAAAAGAAGGAGAAGAGAAGAGAAGGGAAGGCGGGAAGACUGACUCCAUAAACACUUCUCAGAGAAUUAAUAAGAAAUUAAACUCUCAAGCACCAAAAAAUAAAAAAAAAAAAGAAAUGGAAACCAGCCCAAUGAUGAGACAUACUUGCCUGAAGCUUGAAAUUCCAAGCACCGAACCGAUUUUCGUCAAAGGUACCUGGUUCGAUACUCACUUCGACCUCUCCAUCACCGAUGGCCUCCACGCUUGGGUCUCCAACGGUACCUUCCAAAGAGAUUUCUUACAUUUUAAUAACAAAAUGUUGGUUUUUUUUUUUAAUUUUUGUUUUUUAAAAACAAAUUGGAAUUUGUGCCAGCGACGGAAGAGGAGGUGAAGGAAAGGGCGGCUCAGUGGGAUCAGCCGGUAACUGAGUACAUCGAAUUAGUCGAACGGUAUUUAGGGUUUCGACAGCCCGGUUCAGUCUACCAGUUCGUUGAUGCAGGCGAUGACCAUAAAAGAGUUAGCUUUUCCUUUUUCUUCUAAUAUGGUUGAUUCAGAAAUUGAAUUUUGUUUUUCAUCCAAAAAAAAAAAAAAAGGAACUUUGUACAUUUAGGGUUUCACCGAGUGUAAAAUUCAAUAAUUGAUUAAUUUCAAAUUUGAAUUAUGUGGUUAUUGGGUAUUUAUUUAUUUAUUUAUCGGUGCAGCUUUCAUGGACUUUCGAAAAGGAAGGAACUAAGCUUGAAUGGCGGUGGAAAUUACAGCCAUCGCCUGAUAGCAGGAAGAUUACAGCAGGAAUUUUGGAUUUUCUUAUGGAUGCAAACAUUAGGCUAAGUGUAGGAGAUUUCGCCAUUGUCUUAUUAUCUUAUUGCUUCCAUUGGAAGUUAAUAUCUUUAAUUUGUUAUUGCUUGUCAAUUACUAUGGUUUUGUUUGAUAUUCUAGUGUUCUGUCGUAAUGAUACUGAUAGGAGAUAAUUAAACUUUGAAAUAUGGGUUUUUUUCUUUUUAUUUACAGGAAGAAGUUGUUAGAAAAACUCAAUCUUUCGAGAAGCUGAAAGUGGAGGCUGAAAAAUGUUUAGAACAAAGUGAGAGAUUUACCAAUGACAAGAUGGAAUUUGAAUCAGAAAUCUAUGCAAAGGUGUUUUACUUAAAAUACUUGACAUGUUCAUGCUUGUUAUUAUUUUACCAUAAGUUUUGUAUUGUUGUCGCAUGUUUAUGUUUGCUUUCAACAUCAAAUCUGCUCAAACAGUUUAGGGUCCCCAGUAACAUGGCCAGACAUAUCUGUUAAAUAUGUUCUACACGUCUUCUUUGGGCUGCUAGUUUCCCUCCCAUUAUCAUCUUUGUUGUCAAUUUCUAUUAGGUUUGGGACAUUUGUGAGUACUGUUGCAUUGUAUGAUAUGACCAUUUGAUGCUACAUAUCUUGUUGUUAACCUGACUUACCAGAUGAGAAAGAGUUAGCAACGAAGGCUACACUUUUGUUGCAAUAACAGGAAGAAAUGUCUUUAAGUUCUGUGUCUCUCCUUUCCAAUUUUUGAUUUUUACCUAGGGAAAGCGAGGAUAGUUAUGAUGAAGCUCUAUCUCAACAUGGCAUGUUAUCUGCUAGAAAGUAGAGAAGUUAUUGGAGCCAUAACUUCUUUUUUUUUUCCUUUCGCUCUGUAAUUUUUUAAUAUGUGGCAUUUUUAUCAAUUUUUAUCAAUAAUGAAUGAAUUGGUUUUCCUCCUGUCUAUAGUUCCUUGGGAUCUUGAAUUCAAAGAAGGCAAAACUCCGGGAGUUUCGCGAUCAACUAUCAAAACAGGAAACUGCAGGAAAAGCUCCCGUGGAUGAGGAAGAAUCUACUGACAAAACUGAGAGUUACCAUAGUGGAAGUGAUGCUGAGGAAAGUGAAGAAGAACCUGCAAAGAAUCUUACAAGCUCUUCAAAGGAUGUUCCAGCAGGCAGGGGUCGGAGGCGAAAGAGAGCUAAUUAGCAUCUGGUUGAGUAUAGAAUCUGGCAUGUUAAGCCAAUGCUAUGCCCCCCUUCCCCCUUUUCUCUGUCUUUUUCCUAAUCUCUCGGAACAUCUGUAAAUUUUUUAGCGUCUAUACCAAAUCCUGAUAGGUAUUUUGAGUGCUAGGAUGUGAGCAUGGUAUUUAACUUGAAAUGUUGUGCAAUGAUGACUUGAUCCUGUUUUUAUGUAGAGUUAUUAUCACCACGUAACGGCCACUGGGGAUUGAGAGCAAAUUACUAGCUUUUAAAGGAAAAGUAGAAAAGUUGAACCUGAAUGGUGGGGACUAGCUGAGUGGAGGAGUGGAUGGUGGGGUAUUGUUCUAAUUCUUUGAAGUACUUGGCAUAACCGUUGGAAAGAAAAAAGGCUAAGGUUGUGUUUGGUUUGCUGAAUCUUACAUUUUUUGAGGGAAAGUCAUUUUGGGAGAAAGAAAUAUUGAAGCAGAAUGUUUGAUUUCUGAGUUUUUGUCCACUCAAGGAAUGUAAAAUUUUUGCGAUUGGUUUACAGGAAUAUAAAGUUAUCUAAUAAAGUUUUUUAUUAUAUUAUUCUUGAUAAUACGUAAUAUUUAUAAUAUUAAUAUAUGAAUAACAUAUUAUUAUUUUUACGUAGAGAAAAUACGGGGAUCAUGAUAAAAUCGAUAUGAGGGUUGAAAGGGGUGAUAAACUCUCUUCUAAGGGAUUUCCAUUGAUAUAGCUUUCGAAAAUUUUAUGUAAUAAUAUUAAAUAAUAUAUAUUAGAUUUUAUAUGUAAUAAUAUUAAAUAAAGAUAUUUUAUUUUUUAUUUUUUUAUAUUUCAUCAAAGAUUGUAUUUUUUAUAUAAAAAAUAUUUUUAUUAAAUUUUAAAAAAUAUAUAUUUUUAUGUUUUCAAUAAAAAUUGCAAUUUUUAUAUUAAAAAAUGUUGUUUUUAUUGAAUUUUGAAAAAUAUAUUUUUUAUAUUUUUAACAAAAAUUACAAUUUUAUUUUAAAAGCAUUGUCUUUAUUAAAUUAUGAAAAAUAUAUAUUUUCAUGUUUUUAGUAAAUAUUAUGUUUUUAUUUUACAAACGGCUUUUCAAUAAAUAAUGUGUUUUUAUAUUUUAAAACAUCGUUUUUGUUGAAUUUUAGAAAUUUUUUAUAUUUUCAACAAAAAUUAUAUUUUUAUUUUAGAAUCAUUAUUUUUUUAAUUUUAAAAAUUUUUUUUUUCAUAUUUUCAAUAAAAAUUACUUUUUUUGUCUUAAAAUGUUGUUUUUUAAUAAAUAUUAUGUUUUCUAUUUUAGAAACGUCACUUUUGUUCAAUUUUAAAAAAUAUUGUUUUCAUAUUUUUAUAAGAGAUUGAGUUUUGUAUUUUUAAUACAUCAUUUUUGUUGAAUUAUGUAAAAUAUAUAUUUUUUUAUGUUUUCAAAAAAAAUUAUGUUUUAUAUCUUAAAAACAUUAUUAAUUCUAGGUAAUCAAUUACUACAGUUAUUAAUAAUUACAUUUUUUGUUAUUGAAAACAUAAUUAUUGAUAUAGAGAAAUAUAAAUAAAAAUUUAAUUUUAUCAAUUACUAUGUUUUUUACAUACAAAAUAUUGUUUAAAAGCAAAAUAAAUAUGAUAUUAUAUUGACUCUACCAACAUAAGCUAUGUUUUUAUAUAAAGAAAUUAUGUUUUAUUAAUUAUUACGUUUUCAUGCUAAAAAAACAUUGUUGAUAUUGAAAAUAUAAAUUUUAUUUUGUUAUUUUCUACUAUCAAUUAUAUUUCAUAUGUUAAAAAUAUAAAAUUUUUUAAAUUAUAAAAAAUAUUUCAAAAUUUUAAUUUUGAAAUAAUUUACUAUAUUUUUUUCAAUUGUUGUUUUUAUCAUAAUUAAUUUUUUCAUAAUAUAUUAUAACAUAUGAUUACGUUUUUAAUAUAAUAGCGUUGUGUAAAUGAUUUAUUAAAAUUUUAUUUUAUACAUCAUUCAACUAUGUUUAUAAUUUAAAAUUGUUAUUUUUCUGAAACUUUAUCAAUCGAAAAUAAAUAUUUAAAUUAUAAAAAUUCAAAUACACAUGAAUUUUACCAAAUAUCCAAUCAUAUGGCUAGAAAUGCAACUUUAUCUAAUCAUGUGGUUAGAAAUGUAAUUUUGCAUGUCAACAUAAAUCUUGAUUUAUCAUCCAAUUAUGUUAAUUUCCAAUAGAAAAAUAGACCGUAAAAAAUUAUUAUUAAGAUCAAAAGUAAAACAAAUUUUACAUUCCUUCUUGAAUCUUAAAAAACUUCAAGAAGAGAUAAAUUCAUAAUUCAGUGUUAUUAGUUUCCUUUUUUUUUUAUAUUAUUGAGAAUCUUAAAAUCCUUAAAGAAUCAAAUUUCUUGAACUAAAUUAAAAAAUUAAAUUAUUAAAAGUAAAAUUUUAACCAAUAAUUUAACUUUCCACCGUUCCAAACAUCCCCCAAAAACAUGAUUUACUACAUUAACCUGGACGACUUUUUUAUAGCUGAAUAACAAGGACAACUGCUUAAGAAAGUCAAAUAGACCCCCGCCUGAAAGAAAUAAGAAUAUGAAAUUAUAGCAUCAUGUAAAAUUUAGAAGUAGCAUUUCCCACUUAAUUUGAAGUUGCUAAAAAUAGAUUAAAACAAACAAUGAGUGCUAAAAGAAUUAUUAUCCUCUAAUAAUGUACUGAGAGCAUAAACUCAAUGACCUUGGAAGGAUCACUUUUGCUUCACAUCGGCAUUCAUGUUACAAGAAACAACUUUUUUUUCAGAUAACAUCAGGAAGUGACUCGAGAGCUGCACGACAUUGUUCAUCCUCCAUGGCAAGGCGUAGCAGCAUUGAAGUGACUGCUUCAUCAGGCGAAAAGUUCCUUCUACGCAUUUCUUCCAAACGUUUCAUUGCUUUUUCAACCUCCAUUUCCCGUAAAAGCCCAUGGAUAACGAUGUUAAAGGAGAUGGAAUCUGGUAAGCAACCUUUAUCUUCCAUUUCCAUGAGCAAUUUAUUAGCCUCCAGUGACAUACUUUUCUUGCAGAGGCCGCUAAGCAUUAUGUUAUGUACUACAACAUCAGGAACCAAACCUUUCUCAGAGAUUUCAGUAAACUUUUUCCUAGCUUCUUCCAAUCUGCCAGCUUUACACAUUCCAUCAAUAAGUAUGCUGAAAUGCUCAAUACUGGGUUUGUCCUUUGUAAUUUCAAGGGAAUUAAAAAGAUCAAUUGCCUCCUCAAUGUGGCCAUUUUUGCAUAGCCCAUGCAACAUGAUAGUAUAUGUAGAUAACAUUGGAAAUUGACAGUAAACAUGCAUCUCUUUGAAUAUCUUUUGUGCUUCGCUCAGUUGCCCCGCCUGGCAAAGCACUCCUAUAAGUGUGUUGUAAGUCACUGUAGUGGGCUUAAUUCCUUUGUCAUGCAUUUUUUGAAAGAGUUGAAAAGCUUCAUCAAUCUUCCUACUCUUGCAAUAGCCAUUAAUCAUUAUAUUGUAGCUAAAAUCAUCAAGGUCAAGACCUUGAUCAGCUAUCGAACCAAAUAGCUUGGUUGCCUCAUCUAACUGACCUGUUAAACAUAAUCCACUCAAGAGUGAAUUAUAAGUUUGUAUAUCUGGCUUCUUCCUCUGUCGAAUCAUCAGAUCAAGCAUUCCCUGUGCUUCUCCGGUCUUUCCCUCUUUGCAUAGACAAUCUAUCAAAAUUGUGAAGGUUACUACAUCUGGAGAUAGCCCCUUUCCAACCAUCCAAUUGAAAAUUUUCAUAGCUUCUUCCCACAUUCCCAAUUGGCAAAAACCAUGAAUCAAAGAGUUAUACAUGACCAAAUCUGCAGUGAGUCCUUGACUAACCAUUUCGUCGAAAAAACUAACAGCUUCUUUCAACCUACCUAAACGACACAACCCGUUAAUCAAAGAACCAUAGACAACAACAUCAGGGCUAAUUUGUUUUGAAACCAUUUCUGAAAACAAACUCACUGCCUCAUCAACCCUCCCAUCCUUACAAAAAGCAUCAAUAACCAUACUAAACGUCACCAAAGUCCCUUGACAGUUACUCUUUUCCAUUUUCUUAUGCAAUUCAAGAGCCAUAACCGGCUUGUGAAUAGUACAAAGUCCAUUAAUAAGAAUCCCAUAUAUAACACCAUCCCCUCGAAACCCUCUUUCACACAUUUUAUCAAAAACUUGAACUGCAUCUAAAACCUUACCAUCCGCACACAUACCCUUCAACAAGAUACUAACGGUAACUAAAUCUGGCUCGAAUCCCCUCUUUAUAAUCUCACCAAGAACACAAUACCCAGAACUUAUUUUCUUUAAUUGACAGCAACAAUUCAUCAAAAUGCUUAAAAUAUACGAACUUGGCUUAAUUCCUUCAUAAUUCAACUUCCUAUACAUUGAAAACACAUCUGAAUUGCAUUUAAGCUUUGAAACUGAACCGAAUACAAAAUUAAACGUUUCAAUCAAUGGGAAAGGUUCAGUUGUUAUUAACCUGUCAAAGUAAGUAAGUGCAACAUUGAGGGUGAUUUUACCUGAUUUACAUUGACGUCUGACAAAAUACUCAAACUCUUUUGGACUCAAAAGGUGGCUUUUUUCUGGGUUUUGAAAUCUGGGUUUGGGUUUUGCUGAAGAGUUUUGAAGAGGAUCUUUGGUGAAUAGAGAGGAAAGGGAGCUAAGGGAUUUGGUUGUUCCUUGAACCGCAUGGUUCGAAUAAGCUUUACUCUUGAGCAACAUGAACACGAGACUUGUCCCCGUGAAUAACAAAAACAGGAAAGGAAGGGGUUUUGACAACGAGUUGAGUUGAAAACUGAAAAAAAAAAAAAAUUCAAGUAUGUUUAUUCGACAAACUUUUCUUCAAACUUCAGAAAGAAAGAAAAACUGGCCCUCGUUCCCGCUUGAUGGCAUGGUGUGCUACACAUGUCCCAGUUCGAGGGCUGAUGAGAGAGAAGAGAGAGAAAGACAGUGAAGCAAAGCAAAAAUGAAAACGGUUUGGCUGAGGCUCAGAGCCCUGCUCACUGUGGGAGUACAUUCAUUUUCUUUUUUAGGUAUUUUUGUGUAGGCUUCGCUUAUACUGGCAAAACCGCCGGCUGCGCCUUGGUUACAAAAAUUGUUUUAUUUGGAUGAAAAUACAAAUUAUAUAAAGUUUUUAUUUAAUAAUAAAAUAAAUAUUUUUUAGUAUUUUUUUGUUUUUAAUUUUUUGGAUAAUAUAAAUUUUAGAAAAAAUAAAAAUAUUAUGCUCGAAUUGUUACUCAAUUGUAAUUAAAUAAGAAUCGAUUUCUAUUUUAAAUCAAAGAGACUACUUAAAAAAUUAUAUAAAUUAAAUCAAAAUUCAAUAAUAUAUACAUGACAAUCUAAAUUAUUAAUAUAAGAUUUACUUAUUACCAACAUUUUUCAAUUAUUAAAUUCAAAACCAUCUACUUAUAAAAUCAAAAUCUACUAAUAUCAUCACCUGUUAAACUUAAAUUUUUUAAGAAAACAAUCAAUAAUUUUAAUAUGGUAGGUGAAACAUUACUAUAAUUUUGGCCAAUAAUGAUAAGAGGAUAUUUUUAUAAUUAUGAUUGUAGGAGUAUUAUAAUAAUUUUGAUUAAUUAUAAUAAAAUAUAUAUUUUAAUACUUAUGUUAAGUGAGAUACUAUAAUAAUUUUAACUAAUUAUAAAAGUAGAGAUAUUACGGUCGAUUUAGAUAUGUGUCAUUCAAUUGUUAAGCAAUUAAAUGGGUAUCAUGAUUAUUUGCAAAGGGAUCACUUUUAUAUAAUAGUAUGGAUGUUAAAAUUUAAUACAUAAUUAUAAAGCAAUAAAAGGGUAUUUUGUAAUUAUAAUAAAUAGGUAUUAUAGUAAUUUUAGCAAAUGAAAUAUUAAGAGUAUUUUCGUAAUUAUGGUAGGAGAAAUAUUACAAUACUUUUAGCAAAUGAUGAUAGGAAAGCGUUUUUGUAAUUAUGGUUGUAAGGGCAUUACAUUAACUUUGACCGAUUAUGGUAAAAGGGGUAUUUUAGUGAAUAUAAUAAAAGUAGUAUUAUAGUAAUUCUAGUUAAUUAUAAAAAUAUGGGUACUACAAUCAAUUUAGAUGUAUGUAAUGCAAUAGCCAAGUAAUUAAAAAGGUAUUAUGAUUAUUUCUAAAGAGAUUAAUUUCAUAUUAUUAUAUGAAUAUUAAAAUUUAAUGCAUAACUAUGAAGAAAUCAAAAGGGCAUUUUGUAAUUAUAUUGAAAGAAAAUUGUAAUAAUUUUGACCUAUUAUAAUAUAAGAAGUAUUUUCGUAAUUAUGGUAGGAGAGACAUUUUAUGAAACAAUUAAAAGGGCAUCUUUUGCAAUUAUAAUUAGAAGGUAUUGUAGUAAUUUAAAUUAAUUAUAAUAUGAAAGGGUAUUUUUGUACUUAUGGUAAGAGAGUAUUUUUGUAACUAUGGUUAGAGUGUAUCAAAGUAAUUUUGACAAAUAAUAACAUGAUGGGGUAUUUAUGUAAUUAUGGUAGAAAGAUAUUUUUAUAAUUAUGAUUGUAGGGGCAUUAAAGUAACAUUGAGCAAUUAUGGUAAGAAAGAUAUUUAAAUAAUUAUGUUAAGAGAGGUAGUAUAAUAAUUUUAUUUAAUUAUAGAAAGAAGGGCAUUAUAGUUUAUUUAGAUGCAUAUAAUUCAAUUGUCAAGUAAUUAAAAGGGCAUUAUGAUCAUUUUAAAGGAGAUUGAUUUUAUAUUAUUAUAUGAAUGUUAGAAUUUAGUGAGCAAUUAUGAAACAAUUAAAAGGAUAAUUUCAUAAUAUACUUAAAGAGUAUUAUAGUAAUUUUAGUCAAUUAUAACAUGAAGAUAUUUUCGUAAUUAUAGUGAAAGGGCAUUUUUAUAAUUAUAGUUAGAAGAUAUAAUAGUAAUCUGGAUCAAUUAUAAUAGAGGGGAUAUUUUCGUAAAGUAGCCCAUAUUAAAAAGGUCAAAAUAUAACAAACUAUUAAAUAUUAAAAAAAAGUCAAUAGUAAAAAAGAAAAAAAUAAAAUUACUUGACAUGUGGUAUAUCUAUUAUAUAAAGUGGGUUUAACAAAAAGAUUUAAAUCAAAAAUUAAUUUUCAAUUACGUAAAAUAUAAAAAAAAAAUUAAAAGAAACAUAUUGUAUACCUUUAAUAGAAAAUGAGUUUCAAAAUAAAAUUAAAAAAAAUAAAUUUUGUUUAAAAUUUUAAAAAAAUAAAAAAAUUUGAUAUAAGUGAACCCCAAAAAAUAUAUAUUUUUUAAAAUAUUAAAAAUCAAAAAAUCAAAAGAUAAAUUUAAAAAUAUGGACCUUAAACCUUUUUAAAAUUAAAAAAACUUAUGAGUCUACCAAUUUUUAAAAAAAAAAAGGUUGAAAAAAAUACCCCUUAAAAAAAUGUAGGCUGAGUCCCACACCAUUUAAAAAAAAUUUUAAAAAAGGUGAGAUCCACUUUAAGAAAAAAAAAAGCAAUUAGUUGAAAAAAAAAUUAGGUCCCAUACCUUUAAAAAAAAAAAAAGAUCUCACACUCUUUUAAAAAAAAUUUUAGCAAAAAAAAAGGGAUAAAAAAAAAAAUAAAUAAAGUGACAUGUGGAUUUUAGAGUAAAAAUCAAACGACAACAUUUAUAUAUGGGAUUACUUAGAUUUAAAACUAAGUGUCCAUGUUCAUCUCCACUACUAGCACAUUCAAUUUUUUUAAUUUCAUAAAUUCAAAGAGCUAGCCUUUUAUACCUAAUCAUUCUUAUAUGUAUUGGAUAUAUUGCAUCCAUUUUUAUGCUCCAAAGGGAAGGGAUAAAGAAGAAGAAGAUAAUGAAAUGAGGAUGACUAAAUGGAGUUUAUAUAGGGAUAUAUGCCAAUGAAGCUGAUUUUAUAUCCAUCUACAUGGAGUUUCUAUAUGGCAACUCAAAAUAAUCAAAAUGCAUUUUAAAAGGAAAGCUAUGAAGUUGAAAUUGAAGGGUGGGGGGUUUUCUAUGAGCAGAUAUGAUAUGAAAACUAGAAAACAUAUCUAUGAGAAAAAUCUCUCCCAACUUAUAGAGAGGGACAAAAACAAAGCUUAAAUAUGUGCAUUAGCAAAUGAAACAUCAAAACCAUAAAUUCUAAUAAGAAAAUACAACACAAAACAUAUAUCAUAAAUUUUAUAGAUACAUAUAUGAACAAUAAAAUUUGCAAAUUAAUGAACAUGAUUAGGUAAUCAAAAGUAGAUGGGUAUAUAAGGAAUGAUUAGAAUUCUAGAUUUAAAAAAAAAAAAAAGAACUUGUCAAUUCCGAAAGCCAAAAUAAUUGAAGUCUGUAGCAAAAAUAUUGCAUUGAAAUGACAUGAAGAGGGAAAGAUAAAGAGAUACAAAUGCAAGUGAAAUGAACUAAUAUAACAUCUUUUAAAUUUUUGUUGGAUUUAUCCCCUUUUUUGUACUAGAUCAUUUUAAAAUUAAGCUUUUAAAUUUUUAUUUAUUAUUAUUAUUUAUUUCUUAUGAUAUCUUUUUUUUCUUCUUUUUUUUUUAUUUUUCUUCCUUUUAUUCCAAAGUUACAAUGCAUUCAAUGCACCAAAAAUCUCUACUGAAAUUUUUAGCCUUUUUACCAGACUCCCAGCCAACUUCUAUGCUUAAUUUUAAAAAUGAAACUUCGACAACAAAGUCACCGAUGAAUCUAAAAAAAAAUCAUCAACAAUCGUAGAAAAUUUGAGAUUUGAUUUGCAAAUUGGCUUUAUAAAUAGAGCCAAGAUAUAAAAGGGAAAACCUAGAAGACAGUGAAAAGAAAACCUUGUGAAAUGAAAACAAAAUAAAAAUCUUUUAAAAAUUAAAAGCUUAUUGCCAAAUUAAAAUCCUUCGUUUUUUAAGAUUAUCACCACCAAAGUAAAAAAAAACAUAAUACACAUCCUUUAGAACGAAGAGAAGCAAUGCUAAACCAAAAAAAAAAGAAACAAACAAGAAAAAUAAUUUGACUAAAACUUUAAACCUUGAUCUAUGCUAUUUAGAGGUCUUUUUUUUUCAAAAAAUAGAGGCCGAAUCUAUGUUUAGGGGUUGAAAAUAGUUAGAGAAGAAUUUUUGAGAAUUGUUCAACCAUCGAACACAACGAUCGAUGGUGACAUCAAUGACGAUGAUAGAAUGAUACGAGCAACUGACUUUUAGAGAGAAAAGAAUGGCCUAUGAGAAAGAGGUAAUGGGAGAGAUGAAGAAGGGAGAAAAUGAAAUAUACAAAAAUUUGACUUUUAUGGUUGAGAAAAAAAAAAGCAAAACGAUACAAUUUUGGGCUAAAAAUCUAAACACCGACUCAAAACCCGACCUUAGAUCGCUGCACUAAACCUAAAAACCCAUCCUUUUUAAGCUAAAUAGGCUAGAUCAGCUUAAAUCGGAUUGGAUUACAAUGAAUCAACCUAAAAUGUUCCAAAUUGCUCUAAACCACACCGAACUGUGCUGAAUCGAUUGUACCUUUCUGAAUCGAUUGAAACACAUAGAACUAACCGAAUCUCCCUUGGACUAUUGAUCAUGUUGAUUAGGGGCAUUUUGAUAUUUUCAUUAUAUUUUUUAUUUUUGCAUAUUUUUCACUCAAUUUUUUAUAUAUUUAAUAUUUUUAUUUAUUUGUGUGAACUCUAUUAGGAAAAAGAAAAUAAAUUUGGAAAAAUGCUGAGGAAAAAGUUCUUUAGAAUAAAUUUUAAAACUAUUUAAGAAAACGUUGAAUUAUUAAUUUUUCCUAAAAUAUUUUUUGAAAAUAGAAAUGAAAAAACAAAAAAUUUGUUUUCUAAAACUAGGCUAAGGAAAAGUGAAAAUAUUAAUUUUUCUUAAAUUAUUUAAGAAUAAAAAUAAAAAAGUUAAAUAUAAACAAAAUAAACUUUAAAAAAAUGCUAAAAAAAAAAAUUAAAAUUUCAAUUUUUUCUUAAAAUGAAAAUUUGAAAGUAUUUAGAAAAAAGUUAAAAUAUCAAUUUUCCUCAAAUUCUUCAAGAAUAAAAAUAAAAUAAAAUAUAAAAUUAAUAUAAAAUUUUUCUUAUAAUAAUAAUAAAAAAAAAACAAUGUCUAGAAAAAAUGUUUGAAUAAAAAAAUUUAAAAUAUUAAUUUUUCCUAAAAAUGAAAAAUAAAUUUUUGGAUAUUCUAAGAAUGAAAUUAUUAGAAAGUUGAAAUAGCAAUUUUUACAUAAAUUUAUAAGGAAGAUAUUAUUUUCCAAAUAUUGCUAAAAUAUUAGAGUAUUUAAAAAAUUAUUCAGUAUUAACGAUUCUAAUAAGCAAAUAACUAAUUAAUUUUUUUUUUUUAAAAUCUGACGACGAAACCACUUUAAAAAUAUUAAUAGAUAUCUUGAAUACUUUUGAGAUAAAAAAAUAUUCUUGAAUUUUUGUUAAAAUAUUAAAAUAAUUUAAGAAUAAUUUUCAAUUUUAAAUUCUUUUAAAGAAUAUUUUAAAAAUUUUUGUUAGAUUUUAUAGAUAACACAAAAUCAAUUAAUACCAUAUUCAGCCAACUACUAUAAAGAUGCUAUAACUUUUUUUUAUAUAUAAUCGUAUUAUCGAACCUAACUUUUGAUUCAUAGACCAAAAGAUUUUUUUAAAAAAAUUUUAAUUAAUUUUAAGAUUUAUUUAAAGUUAAAAUGGUGAUCAAUCACACCUAUAAAAAUUAGUGAUGACUCAUUACUUCUAUGUCUAACGAUUAAAUCUUCAUACCGAUACAUUAUGACACAUUAUAUGUACAAAAAAUAUAGUUAAUACAAGAUUCUGAAGUUGUUAAAAACCAAGGAAAAAUAAUGUCCAGAUCAAACGGCCAAUGCUGAAAGAAUUGACUGAUAAUCGUACAGAGACAUGUUAAUUGUGUUGGGGCAUCUUACUUAACAACUUUGGAGGAUUUUUUUUGCUUCAAAUUGCACAGAUUUUUACUUAGGAAAAAUUUCCUGUUGGAGAGCAUCUGGAACUGGAAGCGACGCAAGCCUCGCACAACAUUGUGAGUCCCCCGCAGCGAGGUGUAGUAACAUUGAAGUGACUGCUUGAUUUGGUGCAAAAUUUCUCCUGCGCAUUUCUUCUAGAAGAUUCAUAGCUUUGUGAAUGUUCUUUUCUCGAAGAAAACCUUGGAUGAUGAUGUUAAAGGAAAUGGAAUCAGGCAAGCAACCAUUUUCUUCCAUUUCAAUGAGCAAUUUAUCAGCCUCAAGUAACAUCCCCUUCUUGCAAAGACCAUUGAUCAUUAUGUUAUAUGUUACAACAUCAGGAACAAACCCUUUUUCUGACAUUUCAUUGAACAUAUUCCUUGCUUCUUCCAAUCUUCCUGUUCUGCACAUUCCGUAAAUAAGUAUACUGUAUAGCUCAAUACUAGAUUUGUACUUGGUACUUUCAAGGGAUUGAAAAAGAGCUAUUGCCUCAUCAAUGUGACCAUUUUUGCAUAGUCCAUCCAGAAUUACAACGUAUGUAGAAAAUAUUGGAGAUUGACCACAAACAUGAAUCUCAUCGAACAUCUUUUUUGCUGUCUUCACUCUCCCUGCCUGGCAAAGUGCUCCUAUAAGUGUGUUGUAGGUUACUGCAUCGGGCUUACAACCCUGGAAGUGCAUUUCCUGAAAAAGCUGGAAAGCUUCAUCAAUCUUCAAACUCUUGCAAUAGCCAUUAAUUAUAAUAUUGUAGCUAAUAACAUUGAGCCCAAUCCCUUGAUCUGCAAUCAACCCAAAAAGCUUGGCUGCGUCAUCUAGCUGACCUGCCAUACAUAAUCCAUUAAUUAAGGAAUUAUAUGUAAAUAAGGUUGGCUCCACCCCUUUUUGUCUCAUGAGUGCAAAUAUUUCAUGAGCUUUUCCCACCUUCCCCUUUUUGCACAGGCAAUUUAUCAAAGUCGUGAAGGUUAUUACAUCUGGAGAAAUUCCUACUCCAACCAUCUGGUCAAAAAUUCUUGUGGCAUCNNNNNNNNNNNNNNNNNNNNNNNNNNNNNNNNNNNNNNNNNNNNNNNNNNNNNNNNNNNNNNNNNNNNNNNNNNNNNNNNNNNNNNNNNNNNNNNNNNNNNNNNNNNNNNNNNNNNNNNNNNNNNNNNNNNNNNNNNNNNNNNNNNNNNNNNNNNNNNNNNNNNNNNNNNNNNNNNNNNNNNNNNNNNNNNNNNNNNNNNNNNNNNNNNNNNNNNNNNNNNNNNNNNNNNNNNNNNNNNNNNNNNNNNNNNNNNNNNNNNNNNNNNNNNNNNNNNNNNNNNNNNNNNNNNNNNNNNNNNNNNNNNNNNNNNNNNNNNNNNNNNNNNNNNNNNNNNNNNNNNNNNNNNNNNNNNNNNNNNNNNNNNNNNNNNNNNNNNNNNNNNNNNNNNNNNNNNNNNNNNNNNNNNNNNNNNNNNNNNNNNNNNNNNNNNNNNNNNNNNNNNNNNNNNNNNNNNNNNNNNNNNNNNNNNNNNNNNNNNNNNNNNNNNNNNNNNNNNNNNNNNNNNNNNNNNNNNNNNNNNNNNNNNNNNNNNNNNNNNNNNNNNNNNNNNNNNNNNNNNNNNNNNNNNNNNNNNNNNNNNNNNNNNNNNNNNNNNNNNNNNNNNNNNNNNNNNNNNNNNNNNNNNNNNNNNNNNNNNNNNNNNNNNNNNNNNNNNNNNNNNNNNNNNNNNNNNNNNNNNNNNNNNNNNNNNNNNNNNNNNNNNNNNNNNNNNNNNNNNNNNNNNNNNNNNNNNNNNNNNNNNNNNNNNNNNNNNNNNNNNNNNNNNNNNNNNNNNNNNNNNNNNNNNNNNNNNNNNNNNNNNNNNNNNNNNNNNNNNNNNNNNNNNNNNNNNNNNNNNNNNNNNNNNNNNNNNNNNNNNNNNNNNNNNNNNNNNNNNNNNNNNNNNNNNNNNNNNNNNNNNNNNNNNNNNNNNNNNNNNNNNNNNNNNNNNNNNNNNNNNNNNNNNNNNNNNNNNNNNNNNNNNNNNNNNNNNNNNNNNNNNNNNNNNNNNNNNNNNNNUAAUUUUAAAUUCAAAUUAAUUCAAAUUUGAAUAAUUUUGAGUUUUGAUUAUUAAUUUAUUUUAUCAAAUUAAAUUUUAUCAAAUUCAAAUUUGAGUGAGUUAGAUUUUUCGGGUUCAGUUCAGUUUUACCAACUAUAGUUGCAAUAAAAGGGAUUGUCCAAUAGUUGGAUGGUUUGAUUAUUCACAAAUAGUAUAAAGAUAAAAUAAUUAUAAACUUGAUUAGUUGUUUGGCAAAGCCGAAUUAUCUUAUGUGACAUUUUAACAUUCCUCGUAAUAACAUUAAAUUUCAAGUCCAAUUAAAUUUGUGUUUAUCUAGCAUCAUUCAAACACAUGGAAUAUUGAAUUUCUAACUUUCUUUUUAUUUUCGUUUAAGUUUGAUUAUGGAGGCUUAUCGACAAUGGUUAAUAAUAAUUAAUUUAUUUAACAUUUUUUUAAUAUAUAUUAUUCUAAAUUUCAGAAAGGACAAAAUAUUAAUUAAUUAAUUAAUUUUUUUUUAUAAAUAUUGAUUUAACCAAUAGAACUCGUAUCAAUAGAUACGAACAAAUUUUAAACAAAUGCAUAUAGUUAAAAAUUACUUUGAAGUAUUAACUUUGUCGCUUGAGCAGAAUAUGGAGAGAUGUAGUAGGCAGUGUGAGAAAAGAAAACUGAACAAUUCAAAGAGUCCAAACGAUUUCGAAAGAUACUGCAUGACUUUUUCUUUUUGCUCUUGAGAAAAAAAAAACCCUUUCGCUGAUACGAUAAUGAUAACUAAACAAACUUUUGUCUCAUAAAGAAUGAAAAAUAAAAGUUUGUCGACCUUAGCUUUUCCUAAUUAAAUGCAAUCAAAAUCGUGCGAAAGUAUAGUGGUUUACCUGAUAGUUGCGUACGCCAGUACGAAUCAGGCACCGCCCACCAGCCAAAAAUGGCACCAACAAAACAUCUUUAUUCAAGGCUAGCUCCCUUUAUCUCUCUCAAUCUAAAAACUUCUUUAUUCUUGUUUGUACAGGUAUAUUAUAUAAUAAUCUCAAUUUAUCGGUGGAGCCUUGAUUGGAUGUAAAUUGAUUUAAUAAAGAUUCAAUUGAUAAAAGUAAAUAUUUAAUAGUUUAAUUAAUUACAACAAAAUAAUAAAAAUUUGAUGAUUAUUAAAUUUUUUUUUACCUUUUAAAAAACGUACUAUUAAUUAACUUUGCAAAUUUAUAUAGCAUGCAAAACCAUAUACAUUAAUUAACUUUGCUUCUUUGGAUGCAGCAUAUUGAGCUUAAUUUAUAUGUUUUCGUUAGUUUUUUCAUCAAGCCCUUCUCUGAGAAGGCUUGGGAGGAGGUGGAGGGGAGCUUAUGUUUUGUGGUUUAUACAAAUUAAAUUCAAGGUACUAGAACCAAUGUGAUAAUUUUAUUUUAGUAUUGGACAUACCGAUUAAUAUAUUUUCAUUAUAUUAAAAUAUAAUAUUUAAAAAUAAAUUUAUACUAUAUUUAGUAUUGAAUAAUAUUGAUUGUUUUCAUUAAAAAUCUCAAAAAAUGGUAAUUAUACUAAAAAUGUUUAAAACAGAAAACUUUGUGAAUUUUGAAUGAAAUAUUUUUGCUAUAAGUAUACGUUCCGUAUUCAAUUUGAUUUUUGAAGUUAACGUACGUAUAAUUGGCAGCAAAAAGAAAAAUACUUUUCGCUAGUUGUUUUGGAUUUUUUGCGAAUUGUCAACGAUGUAGUAGUAUUGAUAACAGAAGCAAAACAAAUACUAUACUAGUCAAUCGUUUCACGUCAGUCAGAUUCUUCUAUGCCACGAAUAUUGGGUAUCUCCCUGCCUAUAAAUACAACAACUUGUGUGGUUGAGCUAGGCAUGUUUCGAAAGUUCUUUUUGGACGAUCAUCCGUAUAAGAAUUCUAUAGCUCUAAAUUUGUUCUCUAAAUUAGUAACUUCUCUCUUUUCUCAAAAUGGAGGACAGAAAAUUUGUUAAGAUUGCUCAAGUAUGAUCAUGAUCAUUCUGAUGAUUUUGAGUGGAUUUUUGGCUCCAAUGAUGGCAUCAGCAAGAACACUGAAUGGAGAGCCAGUGGUAGCCGCUGGUGUGGCACUUGACAAGGUUCCUAUUCCCCCAAUUGGGCCUUCUUGCGGCUCCACUAUUCCAAUUAGCAAAGGCGCAUGUCGUCCCCCUGCUUCGGUGGACGGGUGAGCUAUACAUACAUACUAUAACAAAGAAAAACUUUUUUAGUAUUUUAGAGAACUUUAAUAGAAUGAGAAUUUGGAAAAUUGUUUCUUAUAAUUUUUCUUUUUUGGGAUGUAGGUAGAAUGGUAAAUUGGGUCAGCAGCAGAACAUAAAAGAUAAUGAAAGGAUUAGUACUGAUUAAGUAUACUUGUGUUGCUGUUGCUUUUCUUUUUCUUCUUUUGCUGCUUUUAUUUUAUACAAGGGGAAUAUUGUUGUUUAAUUAGGCAGUAGGCCGCUUGGAUAUGUAGAUUGGAUGGGCUGAAUCAUCUUAUGAAAUGUGGGUUCGGCUGUCUGUUUUUCUUAUGAUCUUUGUCAUUACAUUUUUGUAUAGUCUGCUGUCUCUAUUUCUUUGGUCUCUUUUUUUCAAUUUUUUGUCUAAAUGGAAUCCCGACUUUGGUAUUUUUGUUUAAAAUUAUUAUAUUGACAUUAAAAUUUUUGAAGUCAAAAUUUUUACAAAAUCUUAUUUUUUUACAUUUUAAUAUUUUUUAUAAUUUUAUUAAAAAUAAUAAUGCAAAAUUGGAGAAACCAUGCAAACCAUAUAAUUUAAAUUUCUUUUGCUUUAGUAACUCUCUUAAGAAGAAACCAUGCAAACCCGGAACACGCAUGCAAAUCAAUGAGAAGAUAAGCUCGAUGGAAUUGAAGUUCCGGACAAAUUUUGAAAAAUUAGAUUGCGUGUGCUUGAAAUCAAUGUUUGUCGUAUCCUAGAGGGUAGUUUCGGGUCUAAAUCAUAUCGUCCUCAUUUGUUCAGCAAAUGGGCAACGCAGUUCACAUGUAAGUGGCCCAUUAGUAACCAAUUUAUUAUUUCAGCAGACCAAAUCUUGUGAUCUUGGAGCCCGAAUUGUCUUUAUUUUUUAACAACAAAUUAAUUAUCUAUUUUAUCUUACAAAUAUAUAUUAGUGUAAGAGUUCAUUUUUUUUAAUUUUUAAAUUAAAAUGAUUAACUAUAAGUGUCUAGAUUCACUUACGCAAUAUAAAAUUUUUUUAAUUUUAUAUUUUAAUAGAUGUAGAUAUUAAAUUUAUCCGAAUUUUUUAUUAAGUUUCGGUUUAAAAUUUAUUGGAUAUAUGAAGUUUUUUGGUCGAAGCCCGAUUUCAAUUCAGUUAGACUUCAGGCGUAAUUUCAAUUCAAUCAAGCUUGAAGCCCAAUUCUGAUUGGGCCCGAGGCCAGUUUUAUCUUUUUAAGCCCGAAGCUUUUAUUUUAUUUUAUUUAUUUAUUUAAAAAAAAUACAAAAAAGAGAAAAAUACAAAAACAAAAAAACAAGGGAUAAAAAAUAAAAAAAAGGAAUAAAAGAGGCAAGGGAUGCUUGGUGCCGUGCACGGCACGGCACCACUGGCACCACCUACCCCUGCCAUGGCCUUAUGCCACAUGCUAGGCCCUAUGCUUGAGAAGAUUGGACAAAACAGAGAGAGGGCUAGUGCUUGGGGUGUUGUACAUGGCAGCCCUCUCUACCAAGCCCUGUGCUACUCACCCAGGCACAGGGUAUGGCUAGGACUCUAUAAAUAGAGCUCCGUGCCAGACCAAGGGAGAAGGGAAUCAUUGCCAAACAAAAAAAUUUUUUUUGACAGAUAAAAAAAAAGUUUUCAAAGUCAAAAUUUUUUUUUCUUUUUACAAAAAAAAAACCAUGCAAACAAAAAUUACAGUCUUUGCCAAAUUGGCGAAAAACCCAGUGCCAAGCAAGACCUACAAAAAGAAAAAGUUUAGCUUUAAAAAAAAAGAGGGGUUUGGCUGAACCAUUAAAGUUUGAUCUAAGGCAUUUUGUUGGGAUUCGGGUGAAACUAGGCCCAUAUUUGGGCUCAGGGAAAUUUUUUGAGAGAUUUUGAAAAUUUUCAGCCAUCAAUCGACGAUCACCGAUGGUAGUUGAUGCGACGGAUGGCUACCGAUUGAUUAUGUUUAGAGAGAUAGUCUGAGAGAUGGAGAGGUAGAGAGAGAAAGAGCCAGAAGAAAUGAGCUAAAAAAAUUUAGAUUUUUAUAGAAACUAAGAAAAACCAAAAUGAUGUUGUUUCAAUAAUCGUCAAAACGAUGUCGUUUUAAGCACAUAAAUUUACGCGUCAGCCCGUGACUUGACUGGGAUCCAUUCACCCAAUCCGACAACCCGUUGACUUUUGGCUCUUGAUCGGUUCAACUGAAUUGGUCCAAACUAAACCAGACCGAUCUCGAACCACUGGACCUAAUCAAACCGCCAAACUAGUCGGAUUGGCAUUGAUUGCCAAACCGUCAAAAUGUUUUAAAGUGUAUGUACAAAGAUGAAGAGAUGUGGCUACACAAGUCCAACUUCCUCUCACUGAAAAAGAGACAAUUAUCUUAUUUGUAAACACUCUAAAAGUACCAUACUUAUGAGAGAUUGAAAGCAAUGCAACCAAAAUUUUACAAAUAUGUUAUAUAUGAGAUUAUCGAAAUAAGUCAUAAAAAUGGUACAGUUCAAUGCAAGGAGACAAUCAGGCAAAAAUAGUAGCACCAAAAAAAAAAAAGAGAAUGAAGCUUUAAGCCGAUAAACUAUGUGGGGCAACAGAUAGAGGAUUCACUCUAUACCCCAUUAUAGUGUACCAAACCCAUUACCCUCCCAUAAAUAAUGUUACCUCUAUCCCUCAUCCAUAUUAGCCAUACCAGCCACUACAACCACUAGCUUAUCCACCUCAGUUUCAACCAUCAUUUUGGAUACCCACUUAUUCCUACAACUGUCCUGCUACACCUACAAGACCAAAAUGGAGACCUAGUCCAAAUAAUGGUCUGAGAGCUUCAAGAAAUACCCAAGAAAAACUCACUUUUGACCCUAUUCCCAUGACAUACACUGAUUUAUACCCUCGGCUUGUCAAGAAACAUUUACUAGCCCCUAUUAUUGUUGAGCCUUUGAAACCUCCAUUUCUCAAAUGGUAUGAUCCUAAUGCACAUUAUGAUUAUCAUUAUGGAAACUCAGGUCAUUCUACUAAGAAUUGUACUACCCUAAAGUGCAAAGUAUAUGGUUUAAUCAAUGAAGGGGUGUUAAAUUUUGAGACCAACCAACAAGGGACUCCAAAUGUUAAUGGGAACCUUCUACCCAAACCAUACCAGACCAUCAAUAAAUGCCUUAAUUGAUGGGCAAACAAGCCAUGUGAAGGAAAAGAUAGAUGAAGUUAAGACUCUGAUGGCUAAAAUGUUUGAAGCCUUGGUAAAGGCUGAUAUAUUGAAGUCAAUAGAACCUCAGAAUUGCUCUAAAUCGAUUAACUCAAUUGAGAGCUAUAAUUAUCACAAAGGUACUUUGGGGCAUUCUAUCAAGAGUUCUUACCAAUUUCAUCAAGAAGUGCGAAAGUUGAUGGAUAUGGCUCGGAUAGAGUUUUAUGAAAAAAAAGAGUUAAUGAAAGCUGAAGUGUCUACCAUUGAUUCAAAAAAUAAGUUUGUACAUAGACCAAUAACAAUUUAUUAUGAUGAGAAGUUGACAUCGAGGCUAGAAAAGCUCAUCUCCUGACCAGUAGUGACAAUUAAAGUUUUUGGCCCUUUUUCAUACCAAAAUAAUAAAGAUAAAACAAUAUCGUGGAAGUACGAUUGUGAUAUUGUAAUUAAUCCAAAUACUACAAACAUAAUGGGCGUAGAAGGUAUAACCCAAAGUGGAAGGUGUUAUACUCCAGAAGCUUUAGAAAAAGCUAGAAAAGAAAAAAUAAAAGUGAGAGAAAAAAGAGAAAGCCAGAGUAAUCCUAUUGUAGCCCCAAAUGAAGAAUGUCAAAAGCCUGUCUUUAAGAGUAAAACUUGUGAAUUUUUAAAGCUAAUAAAAUAUAGCGAGAAUAGCAUGAUAAAACAGUUGAACAAGAUGCCAGUUAGAAUUUCACUAUUGUCAUUAUUACUAAGCUCAGAGUCACACCGUAACGCUUUAUUGAAAGUACUGAAUUAAGUAUAUGUGUCCUACAAUAUCUCUAUUGAAUACGUGAAACAGCUUGUUGGUAAUCUGACAAUCUCAAAUUACAUCUCUUUCAGGGAUAAAAAGAUUUCUCUUGAAGGUCGAGAAAGUAUUAAGGCUCUCCACAUUACUGUCAAAUGUAAGAAUCAUAUAAUGACUAAGGUUUUAAUCAAUAAUGGCUCAUUCAUCAAUGUUAUGCAUAUGACUACUCUAGGAAAACUCCUUAUUGAUGGAUCUUAUGUGAAGCCUAGUCAUAUAAUAGUUCGUGCCUUCGAUGGAACCUAAAAAAAUAUGCUAAGAGACAUAAAAAUGCCAUUACAGAUUGGCCCAUGCACUUUCAACGUGAAAUUCCAAGUUAUGGAUAUCUUUGCCUCAUAUAAUUGCUUGUUGGGUAAGCCAUGAAUUCAUAUGGUGGGUGUUAUUUCAUCCUCAUUGCAUCAAAAAGUCAAAUUCAUUAUUAAUGAAAAGUUGAUAUGUGUGGUAACAGAAGAAGAUUUAUUGGUCACCUAAUCAAUAAAUACUCUUUAUGUAGAAGUAGUAGAUAAAUACUCCUUAUGGCUAAAAGAUCUAAAUUAUAUUCAUCACACCUAUCUACAAUUACUAAAAUGGUCGUUAAAUAGCUCACCGAAAUGGGAUGGCAACCUGGAACUAAACUAGGAAAGAACUUGCAAAGAAUCAUAAAGCCACCAGUAGUAUAUGACAAGAAAGAUAGAUUGAGCUUAGGAUAUAAGCCAACAAGAGGGGAUAGGAUGAAAAAGGUGAAUGAGAAAAAAGAUAAGAGAAUGGCUAAUCUUGAAGGAUAUGAGCCAGAGUCAAAGCCUAUGGUCAUUCCAUACCUCUAUGAUUCUUUUUGUUUGGGAGGAUAUAUUUACCCAGAUUUGCUUGGAGUCCUAAGUGUAGGAUUCGCGGAUGAGUUUUUAGAGUUGGCCAUUCAAAUAAUGAAUGACGAAGAAAAGAAGAGUCAAGAUGAAGAGCUAUCCAUGCACCCUUGUUUUUUAGAUUUUGAGCUAAAUAAUUAGAGAGUCAUAGAGCUGCAUGUUAUCUUUAAAACUUCUAAAAAGUAAUGUAUUGUAGAACUUUAAAUCCCUAAUUACUUUUUAUGAGCAUUAGGUGAUCUUUUGUGUGUCUUUAUGUUUGUCAUUUUAAUAAAAGACUUAGAAGAUGAGUUCGCAUUUCUUUUAUUCAAUUUCAUUUUCAUUUAUUCGAAUCAUUCCAUUUUUCAUUCUACCUUAAUCAUUUUUUUGCCAUUCCAUUUUUGUGUGCCAAUAUUCUCUUCAUCUUACCCUUUGCAAGGUCCCAAAUAAUAAACAUGAAGAUAAUCAUGGUAAUAAUCUCAAAUUUGAUUUCAAAAACUUAAUUCAUUUUGACGAACUUAAUAACGAGAAAGAUUAAGAUAAUUACACACUGCCUCUUGAUUUGUUAAAAUUAAUAGAACAUGAAGAUAAGCCAAUAGAGCCCCAUUAGAAAAUUACUAAAUUAGUGAAUUUAAAGGACAAUGAAAACGAAAGAAAGUUUAAAGUUGGUACACCUUUUUUAUUGGUUGAAAGGUAAAAGCUAAAAAAGUUACUUCCAGAAUAUGUAAAUGUGUUCGUGGUCUUACCAGGAUAUAUCCAGACUCAGCACUAAAUUGUAAAGCACUAGUUGCUGUUGAAACCAGAAUGCAAACUAGUACAACAAAAGUUGAGGCAUAUGAAGUAGGAAAUGCUGCUAAAAAUUAAAAAAGAGAUGAAAAAGCAAUUUAAUGCUAGAUUUUUGAAGGUGGUAAAAUAUUCUGAAUAGGUAACCAGUAUAGUGCUAGUUCUCAAGAAGGAUGAAAAUGUGAGAAUGUAUGUCAAUUAUCGAGACCUGAAUAGGGCCAGUUCUAAGGAUAACUUUUUUCUACCUUAUAUUGAUACUUUAGUGGAUAAUACUGCUAAGUAUUUCACAUUUUCCUUUAUGGAUGCCUUCUCAAGCUAUAAUCAGAUCAAGAUAGCUCGAGAUGAUAUGGAAAAAAUCACAUUUGUGACUAUGUGGGAGACGUUCUAUUACAAAGUCAUACCUUUUGGGUUGAAAAAUGUUGGUUCUACUUAUCAAAGAGUAGUGAUGACUUUCUUUCAUGACAUAAUGCAUAAAGAGAUAGAAAUGUAUGUAAAUGAUAUGAUUGUAAAAUCUCAUGAAGUAGAGGAUCAUAUAGUAAUUUUUAAAAAGCUAUUUGACAGGUUGAAAAGAUUUCAACUGAAUUUGAAUCUUGUUAAAUGUACAUUUGGUGCUAAAUUAAAAAAAUUAUUGAGCUUUGUGGUUAGUGAAAGAAGAAUUGAAGUGGACCAUGAUAAGAUACAAGCCAUUCAGAACUUAUCCCCUCUCGUACCCUAAAAAAAAUGCAAGGUUUCUUAUGGAGAUUGAAUUAUAUUGCUCAUUUCAUCUUUCAACUCACUAACAAAUGCUAUCCCAUAUUUAAUCUUCUUAGAAAACAUGAUCUAGAAGAAUGGAAUGAUGAAUGCCAAGAAGCCUUUGAUAAGGUCAAAAAAUACUUGUCAAAUCCACUUGUGUUGGUACCAUCAAUCCUAAAAAAACCUUUGAUUUUGUUCUUAAUAGUGCAUGAGAAUUCAAUGGGAUGUGUGUUAGGGCAAAGAGAUGAAACUAACAGGAAAGAACGCACAAUUUACUACUUGAGCAAAAAAUUCACUGAUUAUGAGUCCAAGUAUUCACCAUUAGAGAAGAUAUGUUAUGCAUUGGCCUAGACAGCUCGAAGGCUUCAACAAUACAUGCUUUUCAUACUACUUGGCUCAUAGCGAAAUUGAAUCCUAUUAAAUAUAUCUUCGAGAAGCCUUAAUUGAUGGAGAGAAUAGCGCGGUGUCAAGUUAUGCUUUCAAAAUAUGAUAUUAUUUAUGUGACUCAAAAGCUGUUAAAGGAAAUGCAAUAGUCGAGUUUUUUUAUCGAUUAUGCAACCGAAGAUUAUGAACCAAUGAAACUGGAUUUUCCUAAUGAAGAUGUGAUAGCCAUUGAAGAAAAUGAACUUGUUAGGAAGUCUUGGAUGAUGUAUUUUGAUGGAGUUGCUAAUGCUUUCGAUCAUGGUAUUGGGGUAAUUUUAAUAUCUCUCAGUGAACAUUAUUAUCUCAUCACGGCUAAGUUGAAUUUUAAUUCACAAAUAAUAUGGCUGAAUACAAGGCCUGUAUUAUGGGUCUACAAGUAAUAAUUAAAAAGAAGAUUAGAGUGUUGGAUGUGUUUGAAGAUUCAGCUCUAGUCAUUUAUCAGUUGCAAGGAGAAUGGGAAAUAAGAGAUUUUAAAUUGAUCUGAUAUCAUAAAUACAUAUCUGAGUUGGUCAAACAAUUUGAAAAAGUUCAAUUUGAGCAUCUGCCUAAAGAGAAAAACCAAAUUGCUGAUGCAUUAGCUACUCUAACUAUAAUGAUUAAAGUAGAUGUAAACAUUGAGAUCCAACCCAUCAAGUUAGAUGUGAAAGAUGAACCAACACAUUGCUCAGGUGUCAAAGAAAAGGUUGAUGGGAAACCAUGGUAUCAUGACCUUAUGUAAUACAUAAAAGAUCAGUAAUACCCAAAACAUGCAACAGAAAAUGAUAAAAAGACUAUCAAAAGGUUAGCUAUGAGUUUCUUCUUUGAUGGAGAUGUCUUUUAUAAAAGGAGUAGAGAUCAAGUGCUCUUAAGGUGUAUGAGUGCAGCUGAAAUGAAAAAGAUUAUUGAAGAAGUGUAUGAUAAAGUUUGUGGGGCACAUGCAAAUUGUUAUAUGAUGGCUAGACAAAUUGUGAGGGCUAGCUAUUAUUAGUUGACAAUGGAAAGUGACUGUAUUGAUUAUGCCAAAAGAUGCCAUAAGUGCCAGAUUUAUGCUAAUAAGAUUCACGCCCUUCCAAUAGCUUUGCAUGUUUUGGCACUUCCAUGGUCAUUCUCUAUGUGGGGCAUGGAUAUCAUCUGUCCCAUUACUCUAAAAGCUUUGAAUGGACAUAGAUUCAUCUUUGUGAUAAUUGAUUAGUUUAUGAAAUGGGUAGAAGUUGUAUCAUAUGCUACCGUGACCCGAUUUGUGGUAUGCAAGUUUAUAAAAAAAAAGAUAAUAUGCAGAUAUGGGCUUCCAGAGACAAUUAUUUUUGAUAAUGCCAAAAAUUUGAACAACAAAAUGAUGAGUGAAGUGUGCACUCAAUUCAAGAUCCAUCAUCAUAUUUUGAUACCAUAUCAUUCAUAGAUGAAUAAGGCAGUGGAGGCUACAAACAAGAAUAUCAAAAGAAUUUUAGAAAAAAUGACUGAUACAUAUAAAAAUUGACAUGAAAAGUUACCUUUUGCUUUGUAUGCUUAUAGAACAUCAGUUCGAAAUCUAUUGAAGCCACCUCAUUCUCUUUGGUAUAUAGAAUGAAAGCUGUGCUACUAGUCAAAAUGAAAAUUCUCUCACUGAGAGUCCUGAUAGAGUAGAGUUAGAAGAAGCAGAAUGGGUUCGAAAUCACUACGAGCAAUUGAACCUCAUUGAAGAGAAAAGACUUAUAGCAUAUUGUCAUAGUCAAUUAUAUUAAAAGAGGAUGAUGAGAGCACAUGAUAAAAAAAUCCAUCCCCAUCGCUUUAGUGAAGGAGACUUAGUGCUGAAAAGGAUCCUCCCAAAUGAAUAUGACAAUCGAGAAAAAUGGACACCAAAUUGGGAGGGCUCGUAUGUGGUGAAAAAAGACCUUUUUUGGUAGGGCAUUGAUUUUGACAGAGAUGGAUGGAGGUGAUUUACCUACUUUGAUAAAUUCAGAUGCCAUAAAGAAAUAUUUUACUUAAAAAAAGAGAACAUAAAAAAAAGUAAAAAAAUAAAAAAAAAAGUGAAAAAUAAUGACAUAUCUAAGCUGAGAACCUGAAAAAGGUAGCUUGGAUGCAAAAGAAAAGCAUCAUUAAGAGAAGAUCCUAUAACAUAGGGGCAAAUGUAGUUUGACGAACUUUGAAAAAUCAAAGAAGUCAUUUGAUUUAGUUUUAGAAAAAGAAUCUGGGAAUAUUUUGUUUUGGAUUAUCUUAUGAUCAUUAUUUGGGCACUUUUGUUUUGACUUAAACACUUUUGUUGCCAUAAAUUUAGUAUCAGUCUAAUGAAAUAUGCUAUAUUUCCUUUGGAAAUAAUGCCUAUCCAUUCCUUUAUCUCAUUCGAUAUUUUUGUUCAUCUUACAAAUGAGUAAGAGAAAUAUGUGAUUGCAUUUUGUUUGUCUUAAACUUAAAAUGAUGAAAAGAAAAACAAACAUGAAAGAUCUUAGCAUUACUUUUUAAAAGUUGACAAAGGCAGAUGAAAAAGGAUGAGAAAAGCAUGACAAGACAUUGAUGUUGCAAACUUUUGAAGAAGAAAAAUAUUGUUAGGGAAGAAUACAAUGGUCAAAUGUUAAGAACAGAUUGGUUAUAUGGCAAUUGUUGAGAAUUUUGAUGAAAGAAGCAAAAAAGUAAGAGAUUUCGAGAACCUUUUUACUACAGUGAAUAAUUUUGAUUAAAUUACAUGCAUUGCAUUUAGAGCACUCUGUAUAUGCAUCCAUGAAUAGUUAUAAUAAGGACAGAAACUUUCCAUUUUUUAAUGAAAAACAAGAUUUUGAUAUUCAGAUGAAGAUAAUAAUCAAAUAAAAGAUUUUGAAAAAGAGAACUUUACUUGUUCAAAGUUGAGAACUUGGUUUCAAGAACAUAUAAGAUUUUUAAAGUUGUUAAACCUCUCCUUAGAGGAGCUUUUCUAAGAUAAGAUUUUUAAAGUUGUUGAGCCUCUGCUUAAAGGAGCUUUUUCAAGAUAAAUUUUAAAGUUGUUGAACUUCUGCUUAGAGAAACUUUUUCAAGAUGGAUUUUUAAAGUUGUUGAGCCUUUGCUAAGAUGAGCUUUUUCAAGAUGAAUUUUAAAGUUGUUGAACCUCUACUUAGAUGAGCUUUUCCAAGAUAAGAUUUUUAAAGUCGUUGAGCCUCUGCUUAGAUGAACUUUUUCAAGAUAGAUUGUUAAAGUUGUUGAGCCUCUACUUAGAGGAGAUUUUUCAAGAUGGAUUUUUAAAGUUGUUGAGCCUCUACUUAGAGGAGCCUUUUUAAAAUUUUCAAAAGUUGGUGAGCCUUUGCUUAGAUGAGACUUUUUAAAUUUUCAAAAAUUGUUGAGCCUCUGCUUAGAUGAGCCUUUUCAAAAUUUUAAAAGUCAUUAAGCCUCUACUUAGAGGAGCCUCUUUAAAUUUUCAAAAGUCAUUGAACCUUUAUUUAGAGGAGCUUUUUAAAUUUUUAAAAAUGUCAUUGAACCUCUAUAGACACUCAUUUUUUCGUAAAGCUUCAAGAUAAAUAAUAGAUAAAUAGAAGUAGAGUUUCGAUCCUAGUAAAAUGGUAGGAUUAGGACUUUAAAUUUUGAAACUGGGAUGGUUUUUUGAAAAAGAAGGGAUAAACAGAUAAGAGAAUGAGAAGAUUCUGAUUUUUGAAUCCUCAAACUGACCUUGUUUAAACCAUCAACCUCAUACAGCAAAAGGGGACCAGUUAUAAAAAGAAAUCAAGUAAGUUCAACUACCAAGUUCUCUAGAUCUGAACGUUUCUUCUACCACCAUUAAACACCAUUUGCACCAUACCACACUGCUAUCUCUACAUCAAUGCCAAUUCUUCGUUGACAACCUACUCUCAUCACCACUAGGCCACCACCCUCAAGAGGACAAAAACCCUUAGGAAUUCACAUAGAAAAUACGGAGGAAAUAACCUACUGAAAUCAUUUUUUGUUUGUCUCCAGUAGCAGUAAACCCACACCUAACCAACCAACCAAUGAUGCUCUCCUCAGCGAAAAUUGAUAGUCGAUUAGGUUAAAAUCUCCUUAUUUGUCGCUUGCACUAAAUAAUCAACAACAACCCAAUAAAGCCAAAAAUGCACAGAGAAUUAAAUAACAAUCAGGAUAGAGGAAUCGAUUCACAACAAUUCUUUUUAUUUUUCAUAUAAAUUGAUUUUGCAUAUAAAUAAAAAAAAUACGGGUUCGAGUCAUCUUUUUUGGUUUUUCAUUAGUAUACCUAUUUAUUUUAUAUUUUAUAUAGGUAUAUCUUGCAUCCUUUCUGGAGUUUCGAUAUAAGGAUUCCUUUACCAACAGUCAACCCCAUUUGUUAGAAUAGCUUCCAUUGAGUCUCUGCACCUAUCCCUUUUUUAUUAUUCUCGCUUGUUGAACCUUUGUUUAUUUUCGUAAAAUAAUAGGAUUUGGCUCAGGAUUGCCCAUUUUUCAUUCUGGAGUUUCUCUGAAUUUGAAAGUUAUCACUUAGUAGGUUUCCAUACCAAGGCUCAAUCCAAUCCAAUUAAGUCCGUAGCGUCUACCAAUUUCACCAUAUCCCCUUUGUGUCUUGAGAUUAGGAUCUCAUUAGGAUGCACUUCGUUCCCCUUUUCUCCUUCCCUUCCUUUCCCUUUUCUUUCUUUCAUUUAUUUAUUGUCUUUCUUUUUAUGCGAAAAUCGUUGAAUUUAGUAUUGAAUUUAGUAGAUAUAGAUACUGAUUCUUAUAUCGAAGGGUCUUUACCUAUUUUAUUUCUUGUUUGUUUAUCUUCUGAGCUUCUAACAGAAAGCAGUCUAGUACACCUUAUUUUUUAACCAAUUUCCAACAAGCCAUCAGUAAUAGUUAAUCCUCAAUCACAUGCAACCAUUACAUAGAAAUAAAACCCAGCAUAAUUUUUGUUUUGCCCAAUUGGAUCCUGUCAUUACCAUCAUUAGCUUCAAAUUCGAUUCAUAGAGAUAGGGAUGCUAUCAUGGAAAACUGCUAGCACCACUUGAAAGAGAGGAUGACGAGCAACUUUCUGGUGAAAUUUAGAGUUUUUUGAUCUUCGAUGAAUGGCCAAUGGGCAACGACAAACGACAGUGGACGGUGGCGCUAACAUUGAAAUCUGGGAACCCUUGAACUUUUUGACUAUUUUCUUCUAAUUUGAGUUUGAGAGUCGAAGAAAACAAAAGCUUUUAGUGUGAGAGUAGAAACUGGAAAUCUAAUGGAGAAGGCAAAAUUUUAGGCUGUCAUAUUCACGUGAAACGACAUCGUUUCAUUUGCUAAAAAACUCAGCUGACCCGAGUGUUUAUGUUAACCCAGCCCCUGUUCCAUUGCCACCUAAGCCGCUAGCCCACAUUUUCAAGUGGAGCUUGAGUCACAAGCCGAACAGUCACCUUAAAGCAUAACAAUUUCAAAAAAAUAUAUUUUUGAGAAAAAGUUGAAAGUAUUAAUUUUCCUUGAAAAUAAAAACUUUAAGAAAAUAUAUUUUUGAGGAAAAGUUGAAAGUAUCAAUUUUCUUUGAAAAUAAAAUUUCAAAAAAUAUAUUUUUGAGGAAAAGUUAAAAGUAUCAAUUUUUCUUGAAAAUAAAAUUUUCGAAAAGCAUUUUGAGGGAAAAUUGAAAGUAUCAAUUUUUCUUGAACAUAAAAUUAAAAAUAAAAUAUUUUUAAGAAAAAAGUUAAAAGUAUCAAUUUUUCUUUUAUAAAAGCAUAAGUUUUUUUUCCUUAUAAAAUAGCAUAUAAAAAGAGAUCUAUAUCAAAAGUUAAAAGCAUUAUUCUUUUUUUUUCCUUUUUUAUUUUUUUAAAAUGCAAAUAAUCUGAUGACGGAGCCUUUACAAGAGAAACAAUAGUUUUUUUGCAUACUCUUGAGGUGAGGGGAUUUUCUUAAUUUUCUACCAAAAGUAUUGAAGUCAAUUAAGAAUAAUUUCUAAUAAUUAAUUACUUGGUAAAGUUUUUAAGGUUAAUAGAUAACACAAAAUCGAGCUAGUACCAUUUUUCGAUGGGCGUUAUAGGGGUGCUAUAACCUUUAUCAUGCGUAACCACUCUCCUGGACCUAGUUCUAGUUUCAUAGACAUUGAAUCUACCUUGCAAAGAUAUCUAAGUCAAACUUAGGAUUUCUCUUUAAAAAAGGACAGAUUCAGUCAGGUGGCCAAUCGCACCUAAACAAAAACGAUUGGUGGUGACUCCUCAAGUCAAUGUCUAGCAAUAGGUGAUUGGAUCUUGACAUUAUGACAACCUCUAUUUAGAGGACCCCUCUAAAAAAAAAGGAUUUUGUGCCCAAUGUUUCUUCUUUCAAAAUAAAAUGGUUGUUUGUUUAUCUUUGCCUUAUUCUUGAUUUUUAGAAAUAGGCAAAGAGAGGCAGUUGUAAACACCAUUUUAUAUUUUAUUAUCAUUAUUAUUAUACUUUUUUAUUUUUUAUUUUUUUUCUUUUUUGUUCUGAUUGGUUUGAAUUAAAUAUGAAUGCAUUAAAUGCACCCUCCUUGAAAGUCCAAAACACUAUCAUCGCUAGCUGUUGGCAGCCACCUGACAUUCUACCUAACUUGGCAGCGUGAAUUUUGGCCACCAAAAUCCAGGUUAGUUGAAAAUUUAGAAUUUGAAUAUCAGAAAGCUCUAUAAAUAGAGCUCAUUGCUUGCAGAAAAAAGGGAGCCAUGGAUCAAAAGAAAACACUACAAAAAAAAUUUAGGUUAAGAAGAAGAAGAAAAAACUUUUUGUAAAAAAAAAAAGGAACGAAAACCAUAAUCCCCAAGGUAGGGGAACCCAGCACUAGCAUAUAAGAAAAAAAACAAAAAACACAAAAACACAAAAAAAAAUUUUAGUCAAAACUUUCAUGCUAGAUCUAAUCGUUUGGAGCUUUUUUAUUUAUUUAUAAAACUAGGCUUAAAUCUAGACUCUAGAGGUUGUGGGGAGCAUUUUAGUGUUUUUAGGGAUUUUUCGAUGAUCGACAUGGUGGUCAGAGUUCACCAACGGCAAGGAGUAUGACGGUCAUGACGACGGACGGCCACCAGCCCCCGAACUGUCUAAAAGAAAAGAGGGAGAAAGUUUUUUUUUCUCGAAGAGUAAAAAAAUGAUAGAAAAAAAUUUUGGGCCUUUUAUAGAAAUUGUAAGAGCCAAAAUGAUGUCAUUUCAAUAAAGACCAAAACGAUGUCAUUUUAACCCCUGAGGAUCCGCAUGUCAACCCGGGGUUCACGUAAUUGACCCAUGACCCGAUUCUUCAUUUGACUUAUAAUUGGCACAACUGAAUCGACCUAGGCUGAACCAAAACCAAAGUCAAACUAUUGAACCGAUCAAACUCAAGUUGACCGAACUGUUAACUGGUUUUGUUCAAGUAAAAAAAUUUUGUUUUUAGAAUUUUUAUAUAUUAUUAUUUUUAUUUUAAAUUUUAUUAUUAAUGUUUAAGCAUAUUAAAAUGUUUAUAUCUGUUAGAAUAAAUUUUUAUUAAAAUAAAUAAAAAAUAAAUAAUGAAAUAUAUAAUAAAAUAUUUUUGAUAAUUUUGUUAAAAUUUGGAAUAAACCUUAUAAAAUAAUUGGUAAAAAAGUUAUAAUUAAAUAAAAAUAAUAAAAAUGUAAGAAAUGAAAUUUUUAUUUAACGAAGAGAUUCAAAGGUACUCCAAGUAGUGAUACCUACGAAAUCUCUAGGUGAGAAGAUUUUUUUUAAAUACUACUAGUGUAUUGGAGUAUUUAAAAAAUUUUCAACACAAUAAAUUUUUUUUUAGUAAAAAUUAAAACUAAUAAUAUAAAUAUAGAAAAAAAAAUUUUAUCCAAUGAUGGGAUUCUAAAAGUAUUUCGAGUAGUGGUGCUUUACGAAAUCCCUAGGUGAGAAGAUUUUUUUUAAAAAUAUUACCAGUGUAUUGAAAUAUUUAUAGAAAAACUUCAAUAUACUAAAAAUUCCUUUUUUCUUCAAAAAUUUAAAUAAAAAUAAAAAUCAAUAAAAUUUAUGAAAAAGAGAAUAAAAUACAUGCAUCAACAUAUCAGCAUCUUGCAUUGCAUGCUUAAUAAAGUUUUUAUGAAAUGUAAAUUCAAGUCUCCAAUGAUGAGGUUCUAAGGUAUUUUGAGAAGCGAUGCCUAAGAAAUCUCUAGGUGAGAAGGAGUUCUUAUAAUGUUACCAAUGUACUAAAAUAUUUUAAGAAUUAUUUCAAUAAAAAGGGUUAUAAUUUAUUUUUCUUAAAUAAAAUUUGAACAAUAAAUAUGGAACAAUAAUAAAAGAAAAAAUCAAAAUUUCAAUAAACAAAGGAAACCAAGAAAAUUAUUUUUCAAACACAAAAAAUAAGACUAUUUUUAUCAAAAUCAACGGAUAACACGUAAUUAAUUGGUACCAUUUUAAACAGGCAUGUGGGGGUACUAAUCUUUCCCCACAUGUAACCGACUUUGGAGCUCAGACUGUUGCGUAAACCAUAAAAUUAUUUUUUUAAUAAAUUUUAAUUAAUUUUAAGAUUUCAUUAAAAGAAUAUGUUUUAAUAGGUGGCCUAUCACACCUAGCCAAAAAACAGAUGGUAUCCUUCAUUCUAGUAGCUAUCGAUGAACAACUGGUCAGGACAGCUAUACAAUUUUGGGAUUCAUCCUAUAGAUGCUUCACUUUUAAUCAGAAGGAUUUGGUGCCAACUAGUGAAGAGUAUUCGAUUUUGCUUGGGAUAGAACUAUAAUGUCCAAAUAAAGUGUUCACCCAAAAAUUGAAAUCAUGUUAUCGUAAAAAGUUGGCCAAGCUUAUGGGAGUUAAAGUAGAAACUAUUGAUUCCUUCGCAAAGCCUAAAGGUGAACAUCUCAGGAUCUAUUGGAACUUUCUUUGAAACUUUAUUCAAGGGCAUUUAAAUGAUGAUCAAGAAAUGGUUGUAUUUGCUCUAGCAUUGUAUGGCAUGGUGAUUUUUUCGAAGACUUUGGGUUACAUUGAGAUAACUGUGGUAGAUUUUUUUGAGCAAAUUGAAACCCAAACAAUUAAUUCUACACUAGUAGUUCUGGCUAAAACCAUCAGGUCAUUAAAUUUUUAUCGACAGAAUGGAAAAUGACCAUUUUUAGGGUGUGCACCGCUAUUAUAUGUGUAGGUUAAAAGUAAUUUCAAGUGCAAGAAGAGUGCAUUCUUAAAGUUGUAUUUUCGAAACAAAGCACUAAUCGAAGAGUUCUGCAAAAACCAAUGGCCAACAUUAAAGAUUGAGGAAGAGUGGGUUCUAUUCUUACGAAGGCUCACUGGGGUUGAAAUUGAAUGGAUGGCACCUUGGAUACCUCGAGUGCUUUUGUUGUAUCAUGGAGAAAAUAAGCCAUGGAUACCGCUAUUAGGGUUAUUGGGUGUUAUGAGUUACGUUUCAUUGAUGGUGCUUAGGUAAUUUGGUGCAAAGUAGUUUGUUUGUGCUACUCAUGGCCUGGUUCGGGUAGAAUUCAUUUACGGGGAACCAAAUCCACCAAAAACUUCAGAGCAGUUGAUCCAAGCAUAGAAGAAAACACGAAGAAUGAGAUUAGGGCUUCUCAUCGAUAAAGUCACUCCUGAUUAUUAGAUUUGAAAAGCAAAGCGGCCUAGAGACAUAGUACUUUCUUAUAAUGUAGCUCACAUCAAUUGACUAAUAUUUCGAAAGAAAUACAAUUAUCAGAAGUUGGGCUUAUCAAGAAAGAAUUAGAAGUUGAAAAAGAAGAAAUAAAAAAAAAAAUUUGAGACUUUAUGAGAAGGUGGGAUAGUUGAAAUAUGAAGCAGAAAUACAAGGAAGUAGAUUGGAAAAGAUCAUAAAAAAAUGAGAUAUGGCCAACAAUGAUUUGAAAUAUCUGCACCAAGAAAAUAAGAGAUUAUUUAUUUAUUUUUUUUCACUCCUUUUUGGCUUUCUCUUAAAUAAUUACACUAUAUAUUUUUUUGGUAAGAAAAAAUUCAAGGUAGAUAGGCUGCUAAGUCCCCAGGUUAGGGUAAGAUGUGCCGUACUUGAUAGCCUAAGAUAGGUGGCUGCAGGUUAUGCAUUCGAGAUAACCUCAACAAGUGGCCUCUGGCAGGACUCGAAUCCAAGACCUCUUCGUUGAGGAGGACAAGCCUUAACCGAUUGAAUCAAUUACUUGUGGGUUACAAUAUAUUUUAGUUGUUAGAAUAUUGGGCUUAAUGCAUUUAUUAAAGGAAGAGCAAUAAACUAUUGGUUAAGGCACAUGGGUAAUUUUAUUCUUUUCUAGCCUAAUGAAGUUUAGAAGAAGGCCCCAAAAGACUAAUUAAGGAUGGACUAGUCCCGUAUUUUACUAGAGAAGCAAACUUGGUGAAUUUGAGAUGCUUUCAAUUAAAACUAUAGAUUGUUUGUUAAACGAAAUAUUUUUUCUUGGGCACUGCUAAAUGGUCCCAAAAGGUCAUUCAAAACUAGAGGCCUGUUAAGACUUGAGACAUGGGAACAAAGUGUAUAAAGUGCAUAUUAGAGGUGUUAUUACGGAUAUACAUUUGGAUCAAAUCAUUUUGAAUUGAAAAAAUUUAAAUCAUUUUAGAUUAAUUUGAUUUUAACAUUAAAAUUAGUCGUGAUUAAAUUUAAAUUUCAAAAUUUUAAAAUCAAAUUAAUUUAAUUUCAUGUUAUUAUUUUGGGGUGUUCGAAUAAUUUUAAAUUCAAGUUAAUUCAAAUUGGAAUCAUUUUAAGUUUUGAUUAUUGAUUUAUUUUACCAAAUUCAAAUUUGAGUGAGUUAGAUUUUUUGGGUUAAGUUCAGUUUGACCAACUAUAGUUGCAAUAAAAGGGAUUGUCCAAUAGUUGGAUGGUUUGAUUAUUCACAAAUAGUAUAAAGAUAAAAUAAUUAUAAACUUGAUUAUUUUUUUGGCAAAGCCGAAUUAUCUUAUGUGACAUUUUAACAUUUCUCGUAAUAACAUGGAAUUUUGGAAUUUCUAACAUUCUUUUAUUUUCGUUUAAGUUUGAUUAUGGAGGCUUAUAGACAAUGGUUAAUAAUAAUUAAUUUAAUUUAAACAUUUUUUUAAAAUAUAUUAUUCUAAAUUGCGGAAAGGAAAAAAUAUUAAUUAUUAUUAUUAUUAUUAUUAUUUUAUAAAUAUUGACUUAACCAAUAGAACUCGUAUCAAUAGAUACGAACAAAUUUUUAACAAAUGUAUAUAGUUAAAAACUACUUUGAACUAUUAAUUUUGUCACUUGAGAGGAGAAUAGUUAAAAAAACCCUUUUGCUGAUACGAUAAUGAUCACUAAACAAACUUUUGUCUCAUAAAGAAUGAAAAGCAAAAGUUUGUCGACCUUCACUUUUCAUAAUUAAAUGCAAUCAAAAUCGCCUGAAAGUUUAGUGGUUUACCAGAUAGUUACGUACGCCAGUACGAAUCAGGCACCGCCUACCAGCCAAAACUGGCACCAACAAAACAUCUUUAUUCAAGGCUAGCUCCCUUUAUCUCUCUCAAUCUAAAAACUUCUUUAUUUUUGUUUGUACAGGUAUAUUAUAUAAUAAUCUCAUUUAUCGGUGGAGCCUUUGAUUGCGAUGUAAAUUGAUUUAAUAAAGAGUCAAUUGAUAAAAGUAAAUAUUUAAUAGUUAAUUAAUAUACAACAAAAUAAAAAAAUUUGAUGAUUAUUAAUUUUUUUUUACCUUUUUAAAAAAGUGUACUUAAGUUUUUAAUAAUCUUUUUGCAAAUUUACUAUAGCGAUGCAAAGCCAUACAUAAUUAAUUUAAAUUUGCCUCUUUGGAUGCAGCAUUAUGUGGUGCACAACGGGAAGAGAUAAUGAUCGAUCACUAUAAGGAUUUUAUUGAGCUUAAUUUAUAUGUUUUCGUUAGUUUUUCAUCAAGCCCUUCUCUGAGAAGGGUUUGGGAGGAGGUGGAGGGGAGCUCAUGUUUGUGGUUUAUACAAAUUAAAUUCAAGGUACUAGAACCAAUGUUGAUAAUUUUAUUUUAGUAUUAGUUGUAUCUGUGGACUUCAAUUUGUCUAGAAGUAUAAAAUACAAAGUAUAAGUAUAAAAUAUGAAAUAUAAUAAAAAAUAUGAAAAAAAAGAAAAAAAAGAACAGAACAAAAAAAUUGAGGAUGGCAGUGGUGCCAUCCCCGGCACCACUGCUACCAUCCGUGCCACCAAACCCACCAAACUGUACACCCCAUCCUUCUGAUCCCCAGACCAUGCCCUUCUCCCCAAACACACAUGGUUGGAGCUCUAUAAAUAAAGCUCCUAGCAAAGUAAAAAAAAAAAGGGAGAAAAGAGGAGAGACGCUGUAAAAAAAAAACAUAAAAAAUAAACACAGUCUUUCCCGUAGGGAAGAACCCAGCACCGAGUUUCCUGCACGAAGAAGAAAAAAAAAGGAGUCAGUUUCAAAAUAAAAAAGAGACUCAUAACACAAAAAUAUAUAGUUUCACCGAAACUUCACCAGCAGAUCUAGGGAUUUUGAGACUCUUUUCGAUGAAAAGGAGGUCAGAUCUGUGUUUAGGGGGUCGAGAAGAGUUUGUGAGAGAAUUUUGGAAUUUUUUGACACCGUCGAUGGCGGUCGGAGCUCGUCGUCAGCAAGGACUGUGGCGGCCAUCACGACGGAUGGCCGUCGACCCCAGGUCGUCUGAAAAAAAAAUAAAGGAAGAAGGGGUUUUCGGAGGAAGGAAAUAAUGAGUAAAAAUUUUUUUUUUGAACCUUUUAUAUAAACGCUCAAAACCAAAACGACGUUGUUUCAUUAAAAGCCCAAAACGACGCCAUUUUAAGAGCCCAAGAUCCUCCCUUCAACCAGUGACCCGAGUUGGGGUCCGCGUACCUGACCCGACGACCCGUUUCUUCUUCAGCCAUUGACUGGUCUGAUUGGACAGGAAUUGAACCGCCAAGACCGAACUGAAUCAAUACUGAACCGUUGAACCGUCCAGAUCGAACCAAACCGUCAGACCGAACCAUCGAACCGAACCACGGGUUGACCGGACCGUUGAUCGGUCCGGUUCAGGUAAAAAUUUUUUUUUUUGAAUUUUUCUUAUUUUUUUUAUAUUAUUUUAUUAAUAUUUAUGCAUAUUAAAAUAUUUAUAUUUGUUAGAUUAAAUGAUGAAAUUAUGGUUAAAUUUUUUUUAGAUAAUUAUGUUAAUUUUUAAAAUAAACUUUAAAAACAAUAAUAUAAAAAUAAACUUAAUAAUAAUACUAAAGUAAUAAAAAAUGUAGGAAAAGGAAAUUUUUGUCCGACGAUGAGAUUGAAAGGUAUUCCGAGUAGUGAUGCCUACGAAAUCUCUAGGUGAGAAGAUUUUUUAAAAUACUACCAGUGUAUUGGAGUAUUUAUAAAAAAUUUUCAAUACAGUAAAGAUUUUCUUUUUUUUAAAUAAUAAAUAAAAAUUGGUUAAUAAAUUAAAAAUAAGUAAUAAAAAUGAGAAGAAAAGAAAUUUAAUCCAAUGAUGAGAUUCUAAAAGUAUUUCGAGUAGAGAUGCUUUAAGAAAUCUCUAGGUGAGAAGAUUUUUUAUAAAAUAUUACCAGCGUAUUGAAAUAUUUAUAGAAAAUCUUCAAUAUAAUUAAAUUCCUUUUUCUUCAAAAUUUCAAUAAGAAUAUUAAUAAAAUAAUUAAUAAAAUUUCUAACAAAAGAGAGUAAAAUGUGCGCAUAAACAUGGUAACAUAUUGCAUUGCAUGCAUGACAUUUUGUUCGAAAAGUAAAUUUGAGCUUCCGAGGAUGAGAUUCUAAGGUAUUCCGAGAAGCGAUGCCUAAGAAAUCUCUAGGUGAGAAAAAGUUCUUCUAAUAUUACUAACGUACUGGAACAUUUUAAGAAUUAUUUCAAUAAAAAUGUUUUAAUUUAUUUUUAUCGAGAAUAAAUUUUCUUUUUUUUAAUAAAUAAAAAAUCAAGGGAAUUAUUUUUUCGAACAUCGAAAAUUGGACUAUUUUUAUCAAAAUCAAAGGAUAACACGUUGUUAAUUGGUACUGUUUUUUUUACUGACGUUGUGGGGGUGCUAAUCCUUCCCCACAAGUAACCGACUCCCGAACCCAGGCUGUUUCAUAGACCGAAAAAUUAUCUUUUUAAAUAAAUUUUAAUUAAUUUGAAAACUUUAUUAAAAGGAUAUGUUUUAAUAGGUGGCCAAUCACAGCUAGCCAAAAAAGAUUGGUGGCGACUCCAUUUUUUUAUUUCGUUUUCAAAUUCGUCGGGCAAACACAAAACCGUUAUGACAGCUUGGUGACUUCGUUGGGGAUGCCUUUUAUUUUCGAGAGUCAGGCCAAAAUUAACUACUUGUUAUCCUCAAAUUUUGAUUUAAACAGUCUUAAUCAAUUUCUUAAAUUUUUAUUUUUCAUUUUUAGUAAAAAAAGUAAAAAAAAAAUAAAAAAAAAAACAAGACAAAUCAAAAAUAAAAAGUAAAAAAAUUCACAGACAUUUCUUUUACUAUGCCUCUUAUGUUUUAUUUUUUUUUGUAUAUAUUGCUCUCAAUAAAUUACGAUAUAUUUGCACACAAUGGCACGAUGCAUCUUAUAUAUGAGCUCUAUACCCGAGCUCCAUCCUUUAUAGGAGGAAGCAAAGUGCCUAUACUCUCGUGAGGUGAUAACCUCCGCAAUGGCAAGUGAAAUACUUCCACUCGAAUUAAACCCUUUUUCGUUUGUAGCCUGUAAUGGGUGAGGAUCGGGGUGCCUUACUAGUCCAACAUGGACGACAGUGAGAAACAAUUUGGGAACCUUUAGACCCUAUCAAUCCAAACCCAACAUAUAAUAAGCCUAGGAAACCAGCCUUAUGUAGAGCCCCAUCCAUAUUCUUGUAGAAAGUACUUAAGAAUAAAAGUUGUGUAUAAUACUAAACAAAACAAAAUAAACAAAAAAUCUCAAAACAAAAAAAAAAAAAACUAAAAGAAAACAAAAAAAUGUUUUUUCUUAAACCACAUCCUCACACUAACUCAAUUUUGUUUCGUUUCCUUUUUUUGCAUUAAUCAUAUCAUACAGUUUUGCAUCGAGAUAUUUGCUCUAGGACAUAUUUCUCCCAAGAAGUUUUCAUGAAUCCUAUAGAACUACAGAUUUGCUCAUCCUUAGUCAGUGUGCCAUGUGAGUCGUAUAAUGAAAUUCAUGUUUGGUCGAAAGAAGCUCAACAAAAGAACGGAGAUUGUUGCCUACCAGUUAUGUGUCUGAGUUACCCGAAAAAGUGCAUUUAGAUCUCACAGAAAAUGAUUUAAAAGAGUUAGCUGCUGUCUGGGGUCAGUUAAGUGAGGAAAGAAAAGAAAGCUUUUACAAAAAGUAUGGACAGAUUGCAUCCCUCAUUUCAGUAGUGAUCAAUGAACAGUUGGUCAAAGCAGCUAUACAGUUUUGGGAUCCAUCCUAUAGAUGCUUCACUUUUAAUCAGGAAGAUUUGGUGCCAACUAUCGAGGAGUAUUUGAUUUUGCUCGGGAUAAGACUACAAUGUCCAGAUAAAGUAUUUACAUGAAAGCCAAAAUCAGGUUAUCGUAAAAAGUUAACCAAGCUUAUAGGGGUUAAAGUAGAAACCAUUGAUUCUUUUGUGAAGUCUAAAGGUGAACAUCUCAGCAUUCGUUGGGACUUUCUCUGAAACUUCAUUUAAGAGCAUUUGGAUAAUGAUCAAGGUAUGGAUGUGUUUGCUCUAGCAUUGUAUGGCAUGGUAAUCUUUUCAAAGACUUUGGGUUACAUUGAGAUAACUGUGGUAGACUUUUUCGAGCAAAUUAAAACCCAAGCAAUUAAUCUCACUCCAGCAGUCCUAGUCGAAACCAUCAGGUCAUUGAAUUUUUGUCGACGAAAUGGGAAAGGACGAUUCAUAGGAUGUGUAUCUCUAUUAUACGUAUGGGUCAGAAGUCAUUUCAAAUGUAGGAAAAGUGCAUUUUUGAAACCAUAUCUUUGAAAUAAGGCACCACUCGAAGAGUUUUGUAAAAGCCAAUGGCCGACAUUAAAGACUAAGGAAGAAUGGGUCCUUUUCUUGCGAAGGCUUACUGGGGAUGAAAUCAAAUGGAUGGCACCUUGGAUGCCUCGUGUGCCUUUGUUGUAUCGUAGAGGAAAUGAGCCAUGGAUUCCAUUAUUAGGGCUAUGGGGCAUUGUAAGUUACGCUCCAUUGAUGGUACUUAGGCAAUUUGGUGCAAAACAGUUUGUUCCUGCUACUCAUGGCUUGGUCUAAGUAGAAUUCAUUUAUGGGGAUUCGAAUCCAUCAAGAACCUUGGAACAGUUGAUCUAAGCAUGGAAGAGAACAUAAAGAAUGAGGUUAGGGCCUCUCAUCAACAAAGUCACUUCUGAUUACUAGAUUUGGAAAACAAGAUGGCCUAGAGACAUAGUACUCCCUUAUGAUGAUAGCUCAUAUCAAUUGGUUAAUCUUUCAGAAGAUGUGCAAUUAUAAAAAAUUGAGCUUGUCAAGAAAGAAUUAAAAGCUGAAAAAGAAGAAAUAAGAAGGGAAAAUUUGAGACUUCGCGAGAAAGUAGAGCAAUUGAAAUGUGAAGCGGAGAUACAAGGGAGUAGAUUAGAAAAAGUCAUAAAAGAGCAAGAUCUGACUAAUAGUGAUUUAAAAGAUCUACACCAGGAAAAUAAGAGGUUACGAGUUCAAUUCAAAACUAGAAAAGUUACCAAGUCUUACUUUAGUCGACAACGUGAAAUGGAUGAGCUCCGAGAGAGAAUAAACCAAUGAAAGGGCAAAGCUCAAGAAAAGCAAGAGGAGACCAUCAGAAUUUCUCAAGAAUGUCAGAAUUGGAAGGGAUUAUACUCUACAACCUUAGCAAGAUUGGUGGAAUACCAAAACGAAAAGGAAAAGUUGAAAGUCAUGCUCGUAAAAGAGAGAAAAAAACACUUCAAAGUACUGAAUGAAAAAGAAUCACUUCACCAAGUGAUCCAAGGGUUAGAGAUACAACUACAAGACCAUAAGAGCCAUAUUUCAGUAAUGAUAAAUGAGUGACAUAAAAGGAAAAAAGAUUGGAUCUUCACAUAUGAUUCAGAAAGGGAUGCUCACAUGAGAUGGAAGACAGAAAGCUUAGAGAGGUAACAGUACAUAGAGCACUUGACUAAUCAAGUUUGCAAGGCAGUGAAGAAAGCAUGGGAGUUGGUUGAAAAGAUAAAAGAAUUAAGAAGAGAAGUCAAUCCCAUAGGAGAAUAUGGACAACGCCUAGUGAACUUUCUAGAUAAGGCGAAAGACCAUUAUGAGCAAAUCAAACGCUUCUAUGGAUAUAACUUUAGGAUGGUAAAUCCUAUGUAAUAAAAGUUGUAUGGGAUCAAUAAAAAUUUUUAAUGUUAAAAUUAGUCCAAGAAAAAAUAUUUUCCACUUGCAUUCAUGCAUCAUAUACAUCAUUUUUCAUAAAAUAAGUAAAAAAUAAAAUUUUAGUUUUUUCUUUCUUUCUUCUUCAAAAUAAAAGCUUUGUGGUAAUAAAGGUUCAAGAAUAGCUCACCCAUCAAAAAUUUUGGCCCAACCUAAUCGUCAUUCAUACAAUACUAAGACACAAAUAAGAAUCAUGAAGCAAGAACAGGCCAGUCGAUUUGAAAGAAUUGAGAAAGCUCAAGAAGAACUAAGGGGGGAUCUUAGCACAAUAAUGGAUAUACUUAAGAAACUUGAUAAGGGAAAAGCAGUGGAAAAAAAUCCUAGCUUUCAAGAACAAUCGCUAGAUAUGAUAGAUCCUGUCUAUCCUCCAGGGUUUAAGGCACAACUGAACCAACCUUCACAAGGAACUAGAGUACCAAUUCCUACUCCUGGUGGAUAUCCUAAUCCUUAUCCAGGAAUGACAUCCACACUUGCUCCAGGAUAAGUUUAAAAUUUUGUUAAUCCCAUUACGAUGAAAAAACCACCAGAGCCAAUCUUAGUUUCUGAUUUGGAUGAUCCAAGGAAAGAGAAAAGCUAGGGAUACAGACACCUGAAAAGGUAGAAGAUACCAGUGCCCGAAAGAAGAUGAAGUUAUUGGAAGAAAAGCUUAGGGCUGUAGAGGGAAUGAAUUUUUAUGGCUCCACAGAUGCGACUAACCUUUGUUUAGUUCCAGAUGUGGUGGUUCCACCUAAAUUCAAGGUCCUUGAAUUUGAAAAAUAUGAUGGCACAAAAUGCCCAAUGACCCACAUCACCAUGUAUUGUAAAAAAAUGACAGUAUAUGUCGAGAUGAGAAGUUGUUAAUGCAUAUAUUUCAAGAUAGUCUUACGGGUUUUACAGCUAGAUGGUAUGUUCAAUUAGAUAGGACUUAUAUUCGUUCUUGGCAAGAGCUUACAAAGGCAUUCCUUACACAAUAUCGACAUGUCACGGAUAUGGUUUCAGAUCGUCUAUCUCUUCAAAGUAUGAAAAAAAAAGUAACUGAAAACUUCAAGGAGUAUGCAUAAAGAUGAAGAGACGUGGCUGCACAAGUUUAACCACCUCUCGCUGAGAAAGAAACAACUAUUUUAUUUGUGAACACCUUGCACUGUAUUAUGAGAGAUUGAUAGGCAAUGCAACCAAGAACUUUAUAGAUAUGAUGAUAUCAAGUGAGAUCAUUGAAAAUGCCAUAAAGAAUGGUAAGCUCGAUGCAAGAGAGACAAGUAGAGCAAGAAAAGGUGGAGCUCUAAAAAAGAAAGAGAAUGAAGCCCAAGCAGUAAACUAUAUAGGGCAACAGUUCAAAGGUUUCACACCCUACUCUGUACCAGUCUACCAAACCCAUUACCCUUCUGUAAAUCAUGUUACAUCCAUCCCUCAUUCAUAUCAACCAUAUCAGUCAUUACCACAACCAGUUUAUUUACCUCAUUUUCAAUCAUCUUUUCAGACACCCACCUACAAUCAUCUUGAUACACCUAUCAGACUAGGAUGGAGACCCAGUCCUAAUAGUGGUUUGAGAGCCCCAAAAAAUACCCAAGAAAAAAUUACUUUUGAUCCCAUUCCCAUGAUAUACACAGAUUUGUAUCCUCGACUUGUUGAGAAAUAUUUGCUUGCUCCUGUUAUCGUUGAACCCUUGAAACCUUUGUUUUCCAAGUGGUAUGACCCCAAUGCACAUUGUGAUUAUUAUUAUGGGAAUCCAAGUCAUUCCACUGAAAAUUAUACUGCUUUAAAGUGUAAAGUGCAAGGGUUAAUCAAUGAAGGAGUAUUAAAUUUUGAUACCAACCAAUAAGGGACUCCAAAUGUCAAUCGGAAUCCUCUACCAAAUCAUACCAGACCAUCAAUAAAUGCCUUAAUUGAUAGGCAAAGAAGCCACGUGAAGAAAAAAAUAAAUAAAGUUAAGACUCCGAUGGCUAAGGUGUUCGAAGUAUUGGUCAAAGCUGACAUGUUGAAGCCAAUAAAACCUCAAAAUUACUCUAAACCAAUUAGCUCAACUGAAAGCUGCAAUUAUCACGAAGGUGUUCUGGGGCAUUCUAUGGAAAAUUAUCACCAAUUUCAUUAAGAGGUGCAAAAAUUGAUGGAUGAGGGUCGAAUAGAGUUUUACCAAGAAAGAGAAGAGUUGGUGAAAGCUGAAGUGUCUACCAUUGAUUCAAAGAAUAAGUUUAUGCGUAGAUCGGUAACUAUCUAUUAUGAUGAAAAGCCAACAUCGAAGCUAAAAAAGCCUAUUUCCCGACUUGUGGUGAUAAUUAAAGUUUCUGGCCCUUUUUCAUAUCAGAAUGAUAAAGCAGUCCUUAGAAGUAUGAUUAUGAUAUCUUAGUCAACCCAGAUACUGCCAACAUAAUAGGUGUAGGAGGCAUAACUCGAAGUGGUAGGUGCUAUACCCCAGAGGCUCUAGAAAAAGCUAGAAAGGAGAAAGCAAAGGUAGAAGAAGAAAAUGAAAAUCAGAGUGGUCUUGACGUAACCCAAAAAAAAUGUCAGAAGCUAGUAUCUGAAAGUGAAGCAUGUGAAUUUUUAAAGUUAAUAAAACAUAGCGAGUAUAGCGUGGUAGAACAGCUUAACAAGAUACCGGCUAGAAUUUUACUAUUGUCAUUAUUGCUCAGUUCAGAGUCACACUGUAAUGCUUUGCUGAAAGUGCUAAAUCAAGCAUAUGUGUCUCGUAAUGCUUCUGUUGAAUAUAUGGAAUAGCUUGUUGGUAAUCUGACGAUUUCAAACUAUAUCUCCUUCAAUGAUGAAGAGAUUCCUUCUGAAGGUAGAGGAAGUACCAAGGCUCUUCACAUUACUAUAAAAUGUAAAAGUCAUAUAAUGGCUAAGGUUUUGAUUGAUAAUGGCUCAUCCAUCAAUGUUAUGCUUGUGACUACUUUAGUAAAACUCUCUGUUGAUGGAUCUUAUAUGAAACCUAGUCAUAUGAUAGUGAAAGCCUUUGAUAAAACUAGAAGAGAGGUGCUAGGAGAUAUAGAAGUGCCAUUGCAGAUUGGGCCAUGCACUUUCAAUGUGAAAUUUCAAGUUAUGGACAUCUUUCUUUCAUACAGUUAUUUAUUGGGUAGACCGUGGAUCCAUAUGAUAGGUGUUGUCAUAUCCUCAUUACAUCAGAAAAGUUAAAUUCAUUAUUGAAGGGAAGCUAACAUGUGUGGUAGGAGAAGAAAAUUUAUUGGUAACUCAACCGAUAAAUACUCUUUAUGUGGAAUUGACAGAUGAAGCUUUAGAAUGCUCUUAUAGAUCCUUUGAGAUUGCCAAUGCAACAUAUAUAGCUGAAGGAUCUAAAUUAUAUUCACCACACUUGUUUACGACGACUAAAAUGGUAGUCAAAUAGCUUACCAAGAUGGGAUGGCGACCUGAAGUCAGACUUGGAAAGAACCUACAAGGAAUCACGAAGCCAUCGGCCAUAUAUGAAAAGAGAGACAGAUUUGGCUUAGGAUAUAAGCCAAUGAGUGGGGACAGAAUAAGAAUGGUGAAUGAGAAAAGAGAUAAGAGGAUAGCUAAUCUUAAGGGAUAUGAGCAGGAGUCAAAGCCCAUAGUCAUUCUAUACCUCUAUGAUUCUUUUCACUCGGGAGGAUACAUUUAUCCAGAUUUAUCGGGAGCCCCAAAUACAGGAUUUGUGGAAAAAUUUUUAGAACUGGCCAUUCAAAUGGUGGAUGAUGGAGAAAAGAAGAGUCGAAGUGAAGAGCUGUUCGUGUACCCUUAUCCUUCAGAUUUUGAACUGGAUAAUUGGAAAGUUACAGAGCUGCUUGUUGUUUUUAAAACUUUGAAAAAGUAAUGUACUGUGAACUUUAAAUCCCUAAUUACUUUCUACAAGUAUUAGGAGAUCUUUUAUGGUGUGUUUAUGUUUAUCAUUCUAAUAAAAGACUUAGAAGAUGCAUCCAUAUUUCUUCUAUUAUUUUUAUCUUCAUUUUACCUUUCAUUUUUUUCUUUCCUACAUUUUCUUGCCAUUUCAUUUUUGUGUGCCAAUAUUAUCUCCAUCUUACCCUUUGUAGGGUCUCAAACAAUGAACAUGAAGAUAAUCAUGACAAUAAUCUCAGAUUUGAUUUUGAAAACUUAAUUCAUGUUGAUGAACUUGAUAAUGAGGAAGAUUCAGAUAACUAUACAUUGCCUCCUGAUUUGUUAAAAUUAAUGAAACAUGAAGAUAAGCCAAUUGAACCCCACCAAGAAAUUACUGAAUCAGUAAAUUUGAGAGAUGGUGAGAACAAAAGAGAGGUCAGUUUUUUGUUAUGUUCUUUUUUUUUUUCUCUUUUUUGUAUCGGCACCACUGCCACCAUCCGUCCACCAGACCUUACACCCCAUCCUUCUAAUCACCAGACCAUGCCCUUUCCCCCAAACACACAUGGCUGGAGCUAUAUAAAUAGAGCUCCAGCGAAGCAUAAAAAGAGGGGGAGAAAAGAUGAGAGACGCUGCAAAAAAAAAAAACACAAAAAAAUAUACACAGUCCUCUUCGUAGGGAGAAACCCAACACCGAGCUUUCGCACGAAGAAGAAAAAAAAGGAGUCAGUUUAAAAAAAAAAAAGAGAGUCAGAACAUAAAAUAUAUAGUUUCAUCGAAACUUCACCAGCAGAUCUAAAGAUUUUGGGACUCUUUUUGGUGAAAAGGAGGUCGGAUCUGUGUUCAGGGGGUUGAAAAGAGUUUGAGUGAAUUUUGGAAUUUUUUGACACCGUCGACGACGGUCGGAGCUCACCAUCGACAAGGAUUGUGGCGGUCAUCACGAUGGAUGGCCACUGGCCCCAGGUCGCCUGAAAAAAAAAUAGAGGAAGAAGGGUUUUUUUUUUCGAAGGAAAAAAGAAUGAGUAAAAAAAAAUUUUGAACCUUUUAUAAACACUCAGAACCAAAACGACGUUGUUUCAUUAAAGGCCCAAAACAACGUCAUUUUAAGAGCCUAGGAUCCGUGCUUCAACCCGCGACCCGACCCGGGGUCCGCGCACCCAACCCAACGACCCAUUUCUUCUUCAGCCAUUGACCGGUCUGACUGGACCGAAAUUGAACCUCUCAGACCAAACCGAACCGGUACUGAACCGCUGAACCGUCCAAAUCGAACCAAAUUGUCGGAUCGAGCCGCGCGUUGAUCGGACCGUUGACCGAUCCGGUUCAGGUAAAAAUUUUUUUUUUAAUUUUUCUUAUUUUUUAUAUAUUAUUUUAUUAAUAUUUAUGCAUAUUAAAAUAUUUAUAUUUGUUAGAUUAAAUGAUGAAAUUGUGGUUAAAUUUUUUUAUAUAAUUAUGUUAAUUUUUAAAAUAAACUUUAAAAACAAUAAUAUAAAAAUAAACUUAAUAAUAAUACUAAAGUAAUAAAAAAUGUAGGAAAAAGAAAUUUUUAUCUGACGAUGAGAUUGAAAGGUAUUCCGAGUAGUGAUGCCUAUGAAAUCUCUAAGUGAGAAGAUUUUUUAAAAUACUACAAGUGUAUUGGAGUAUUUAUAAAAAAUUUUCAAUACAGUAAAGAUUUUCUUUUUUUUUUUUAAAUAAUAAAUAAAAAUUGGUUAAUAAAUUAAAAAUAAGUAAUAAAAAUGAGAAGAAAAGAAAUUUAAUCCAAUGAUGGAAUUCUAAAAGUAUUUCGAGUAGAGAUGCUUUAAGAAAUCUUUAGGUGAGAAGAUUUUUUAUAAAAUAUUACCAGCGUAUUGGAAUAUUUAUAGAAAUUUUCAAUAUAAUUAAAUUCUUUUUUCUUCAAAAUUUCAAUAAGAAUAUUAAUAAAAUAAUUAAUAAAAUUUCUAACAAAUGAGAGUAAAAUGUGUGCAUAAACAUGGUAACAUAUUGCAUUGCAUGCAUGAAAUUUUGUUCGAAAAGUAAAUUUGAGCCUCCGAGGAUGAGAUUCUAAGAUAUUCUGAGAAGCGAUGCCUAGAAAUUUUUAGGUGAGAAAAAAUUCUUCUAAUGUUACCAACGUACUGGAACAUUUUAAGAAUUAUUUCAAUAAAAAGGUUUUAAUUUAUUUUUCUCAAGAAUAAAUUUUCUUUUUUUUAAUAAAUAAAAAAUCAAGGGAAUUAUUUUUUUGAAAACCGAAAAUUGGACUAUUUUUAUCAAAAUCAAAGGAUAACACGCUGUUAAUUGGUACCAUUUUUUUUUACGGGUGUUGUGGGGGUGCUAAUCCUUCCCCACACGUAACCGACUCCCGAACCCAGACUAUUUCGCAGACCGAAAAAUUAUCUUUUUUAAUAAAUUUUAAUUAAUUUGAAAACUUUAUUAAAAGGAUAUGUUUUAAUAGGUGGCCAAUCACACCUAACCAAAAAAGAUUGGUGGCAACUCCAUUUUUUUAUUUCGUUUUCAAAUUCGUUAGACGGACACAAAACUGUUACGACAGUAUCGAUUAAUGUAUUUUAAUUAUACUAAAAUAUAAUAUAUUUAUAAGUAAAUUUUUGUUCUAAAUUUAGUAUUGAAUAAUAUUGAUUGUUUUCGUUAAAAAUCUAAAACAAAAGUUAAUUAUACUAAAAAGUACUCCAUUUCAUUGUUGUGAUUACCCGAAAAUCCGGAGCUCAUAUCGUGUAUUUGUUCGUUAGGAUCAGUCUUGAACCAUUCUUUGAUGCGUAGAGCAUUUCUCCAAAUCCCCAUAAGGCGUAAUCAUUUUGCGAUGACUCGAAAUUGACCCUGACCUCUUGUUGCUUGUGACCGAUCGAAGCGAAGAGGCGACGAAAGUUAAGAUCAUCACACAUCACACAUUCACCAGACAACUUUCGAUUCUUUCGACUCAGAAAAAGUAGGCAGAAAAAGAAUCAUGUCUGGAUACUUUUUUUUUAUGGAUAGGGCAUGGUUUUGUUAACAGUGCCCCAUACGAAGAUUUCUUCUAGAUGAUUUAGCAAUUUUGGUUACGGCUUCUUGCACAUACUCUAGAGGUUGCUUUUAGAACACUGAUGAUUGAUGUUUGGUGGGGUGACUUUCUUUGUUUACUAUCUUCAUCUUUGUCAGUUUUAAAGAACUUUUGAUAUUGAAAGAUUUUUGUGUUUAAUGCAUUUUAUGUAUCUUUUUUUGAAAAUUUGUUGUUGUUGUUAUUGUUAGUUUUAACUUUGUAACAAUUUGGUUGCUUAAUAAAAUUUAUUUGACUUAAAAAAUAAAUGCUUUUAUUGAAUGUUAAACAGAAAACUUUGUCAAUUUUGAAUGAAAUAUUUUUGCUAUAAGUUUUUCGCUAGUUGUUUUGGAUUUUGCGAAUUGUCAACGAUGGUAGUAUGAUAACAGAAGCAAAACAAAUACUAUACUAGUCAAUCGUUCACGUUAGUCAGAUUCUUCUAUGCCACGAAUAUGGGUAUCUCCCUGCCUAUAAAUACAACAACUUGUGGUUGAGCUAGGCAUGUUUCGAAAGUUCUUUUUGGACGAUCAUCCGUAUAAGAAUUCUAUAGCUCUAAAUUUGUUCUCAAAACGGGUGAGCUAUUCAUGCAUACUAUAACAAAGAAAAACUUUUUUAGUAUUUUAGAGAACUUUAAUAGAAUGAGAAUUUGGAAAAUUGUUUCUUAUAAUUUUUCUUUUUUGGGAUGUAGGUAGAAUGGUAAAUUGGGUCAGCAGCAGAACAUAAAAGAUAAUGAAAGCAUUAGUACUGAUUAAGUAUGCUUGUGUUGCUGUUGCUUUUCUUUUUCUUCUUUUGCUGCUUUUAUUUUACAAAUCUUAUUUUUUACAAUUUUAAUUAUUGUUUUAUAAUUUAUUAAAAAUAAUAAUCAAAAUUGGAGAAACCAUGCAAACCAUAUAAUUUAACUUUCUUUUGCUUUACUAACUCUCUUAAGAAGAAACCAUGCAAACCCGAGAAACCAUGCAAAUCAAUGAAGGAGAUAGCCUCGAUGGAUUGAAGUUCCGGACAAAUUUUGAAAAAUUAGAUUGCGUUGUGAUGCGGUCUAGUGCUUGAAAUCAAUGUUUAUCGUCAUCCUAGAGGGUGGUUUCAGGUCUAAAUCAGAUCGUCCUCAUUUGUUCAGUUAAUGGGCAACGCAGUUCACAUGUAAGUGCCCAUUAGUAAGCAAUUUAUUAUUUCAGCAGACCAAAUCUUGUGAUCUUGGAUGGACAGUCCAGAUUUGAAGGAUUGAGCCCGAAUUGUCUUUAUUUUUUAACAACAAAUUAAGUAUCUAUUUUAUCUUAAAAAUAUAUAUUAGUGUAAGAGUUCAUAUAUUUUUAAAUUUUUAAAUUAAAAUGAUUAACUAUAAGUGUCUAGCAUCACUUACCCAAUCUAAAAUUUUUUUAAUUAUUAAUUUUAAUAGAUGUAGAUACAAAAUUUAUUCGAAUUUUUUAUUAAGUUUCGAUUUAAAAUUUAUCGGAUAUGUCAAGUUUUUGGGCCGAAGCUCGAUUUCAAUUCAAUUAGACUUCAGGCCCAAUUUCAAUUCAACCGAGCCUGAAGCUCGAUUCUGAUUGAGCCCGAGGACCAGUUUUGUCUUUUUAAGCCCAAAGCCUUUAUUUUAUUUUAUUUUAUUUAUUUAUUUAAAAAAAUAAAAAAACAAAAAAAUACAAAAAAGAGAAAAAUACAAAAACAAAAAAACAAGGGAUAAAAAAGAAAAAAAAAGGAACAAAAGAGGUAGGGGGUGCCUGGUGCCGUGCAUGGCACCACUGGCACCACCUACCCUUGCCAUGGCCUUGUGCCACAUGCUAGGCCCUAUGCUUGAGAAGAUUGGACAAAACAAAGAGGGGGCUGGUGUAUGGCACCUCCCUUUGCCAAGCCUUGUAUCACUCACCCAAGCACAGGGCAUGGCCAGAGCUCAAUAAAUAGAGCUCCAUGUCAUACCAAGGGAAAAGGGAAUCCCUACCAAAGAAAAUAUUUUUUUGACAGAUAAAAAAAAAGUUUCUAGAGUCAAAAAAGAAAAAAAAAUUUCUUUUUGCAAAAAAAAACCAUGCAAACAAAAAUUACAAUCCUUGGCAAAUCGACGAAGAACCCAGCGCCAAGCAAGACUAGCAAAAAACAAAAAAGCUUAGCUUUAAAAAAAAAAAAGGGGUUUGACCAAAUCAUUAAGGUUCAAUCGAAGGCAUUUUGUUGGGAUUUGGGUGAAACUAGGCCUAGAUUUGGGCUCAGGGGGCAAAGGGGAACUUUUUGAGAGAUUUUAAAAUUUUUCAGCCAUCAAUCGACGAUCACCGAUGGCGGCUAAUGCGACGGACGACUACCAAUCGAUUAUGUUUAGAAAGAGAGUCUGAGAGAUGGAGAGGGUAGAGAGAGAAAGAGCCAGAAGAAAUAAGCUGAAAAAAAUUGGGAUUUUUAUAGAAACUAAGAAAAACUAAAACGACGCUGUUUCAAUAAGUGUCAAAAUGACGUUGUUUUGAGCACCCAAAUUCGCGCGUUAGCUCGUGACUCGGCCUAGGGUCUGUGCGCCCGAUCCAACAAUCCGCUUGACCUUUGGCUCCUGACCAGUUCAACUGAAUUGGUCCAAACUGAACUAGAUCGACCUCAAACCACUGAGCUCGAUCAAAUCGCCAAACUAGUCGGACCGGCAUUGACCAGAUCGUUGACAGGUCUGAUUCAAGUGAAUUUUUUUAUUUUUUAAAAUAUUAUUUUUGUUAUUUUAAAAUUUAUUAUUAAUAUUUUGCAUGUUAAAAUGUUUGAAUUUGCUAGAAUACAAUUUUUUUUUGUUUUAUAAUAAUAAUUAAUAAAAGUAAAAAAUGAAAUAUAUAGUAAAAAAAUUGUGAUAAUUUUGUUAUUUUUAAAAUAAAUCUUAUAAAAUAAUACAAAAUUAAUAAAAAAUAAGAAAAGAAAAUUUUUAUCCGAAUAUGAGAUUCAAAGAUACUCCAAGUAAUGAUACCUAUAAAAUCUCUAGGUGAAAAUUUUUUUUUUAAAUACUACCAGAACUCAACACUAGAACUCAACACUAGAACUCAAACAAGAAUCAUGGAACAAGAAUAGGCUAGUCAAUUUGAGAGAAUCGAGAAAGCUUAAGAAGAACUAGGAUGGGAUCUUAGUAUAAUAAUGGAUAUGCACAAAAAACUUAACAAGUGAAAAGCAAUGGAAGGAAAUCCUAGCUUCCAAGAACAAUCGCCAGACAUGGUGGAUCCUAUAUACCCUCCAAGGUUUGAGCCAUGACUAACUCAACCUUCUCAAGGAGUCAGAAUUCAAAUUCUUACUCCCAGAGGAUAUGUUUAUCCUUAUCCAGGAAUGACGUUCACACCUAUUCUAGGAUAAUUCUAAAAUUUUACUAAUCCUGCUAUGGUAGAAAAACCAUCCGAGCCAAUCUUGAUUCUAGACUCAAAUGAUUCUAAUGAGAGAGAAAAGUUAGGGAUGAAGACAUUUGAGAAAGUGAAAGAUAACAGUGCUCAACAAAAGAUGAAAUUAUUAGAAAAACGACUUAAAGCCAUAGAAAAAAUAGAUUUUUAUGGCUCCAUGAAUGCAACUGAGCUUUGUUUAGUUCCAGACAUGGUCAUUCUACCUAAAUUCAAGGUCCCUUAGUUUGAAAAAUAUGAUGGCACAAAAUGCACAAUGACUCAUGUCACUAUGUAUUAUUGCAAGAUGGUGGCAUAUGCUCGUGACUAGAAUUUGUUGAUGCAUGUAUUUCAGGACAACUUUACAGGAUCUACAGCUAGAUGGUAUGUUUAACUAGACAAGACUCGUAUCAUUAAUGGCAAGAGCUCACAAGGGCAUUCAUUACAUAAUAUUGGCAUGUCACAAAUCUAGCUUCAGAUUGUCUAUCUUUACAAAACAUGUAAAAAAAAGUAACAGAAAGCUUCAAAGAGUAUGCACAGAGAUGGAGAGAUGUGGUCCUAUAAGUACAACCUCCCAUCACUGAGAAAGAGACAACAAUCCUAUUAGUGAAUACUCUAAAAACACCAUACUAUGAAAGAUUGAUAGGCAGUGCAACAAAAAACUUUAGAGAUAUGGUGAUAUCAGGUGAAAUUAUUGAAAAUGCCAUAAAGAAUGACAAGCUCAAUACAGGAGAAACAAGUGAAACAAAGAAAGGCAAAGCUUUCUAAAAGAAAGAAAAUGAAGCCUAAGUAGUGAACUACGUGGGGCAACAGUUCGAAAGUUUCACUCUAUACCCUAUACCAGUGUACCAAACCUAUUACCCUCACAUAAACAAUGUUACAUCCAUCUUUUAUCCUUGUCAACCGUAUCAGCCGCUACAACAAUCAACUUAUGCACCCCAUUUUUAACCAUCUUUUCAGACACCCAACUAUACAUAUAACCAUUCCGCUGACCUACCAAAUUAGAACAAAGAUCCAAUCCAAGUAGUGGUCUGAAAGCCUCAAGAAAUACAAAAAAAAAUCACUUUUGACCCUAUUCCUAUAUCUUAUACAGAAUUGUUAUCCUAACUUAUCCAAAAUUAGUUUUUAGAACUUGUGCAUCUAGAACCCCUUCAACCCUCUUACCCAAAAUGGUAUGAUCCAAAUGCAAAAUGUGAUUACCAUAAUGAAAAUCAAGGUCACUCAAUAAAAAACUGUCCUGCACUGAAAUACAAGGUUAGAGAUCUCAUUAAAGUAAAAAAAAAUAUAAUUUGAAACUAACAAGGAUCAUCGUGUGUAAACACCAUUUUGUAUUAUUAUUAUUAUUAUUAUAUUUUUUUUCUUUCUUUUUUUCUUUUUUCUUUUUCCUUCUUCUUUUUCUUUUCUAUUAUGAUCGGUUUGACUAAAAUAUGAAUGCAUUAAAUGCACCCUCAUUGAAAGUCCAAAAACACCACCAUAGUUAGCUGUCGGUAGUCGCCUGACAUUUUGCCUAACCUAGCAGUGUGAAUUUUGAUCACCUAAAGUCCAAGCCGAUUGAAAAUUUGGGAUUUGAAUCCCAUAAAGCUCUAUAAAUAGAGCUCAUUAUUUAUACAAAAAAGGGAGCCAUGGAUCAAAAGAAAACCCUACCAAAAAAUUUAAAAAAAAAAAAGAAAAAGCUUUCUAUAAAAAAUAAAAAUAAAAAACCACAAUCCCUGAGGUAGGGGAACCCAACCUUAGCAUAUAAAAAAAACAAAAAACAUAAAAACAAAAAAAAAUUUGACCAAAACUUUUAGGCCAGAUUUACGUCGUUUCAGGCCUUCUUUCGUAAAACCAAGCUCAGAUCUAGACUUUGGAAGUUGUGGGGAGCAUUUAAGUAUUUUUUGGGAUUUUUCGACGACUGACACGGUGGUCGGAGUUCACUGAUGGCAAGGAGCAUAGCGGUUGUCAUGAAAAACAACCACCAGCCCUCGACCUGUUUAAAAGAAAAGAGGGAGAGAGUUUUUUUUUGGAGAGGGAAGAAAUGAUUGAAAAAAAUUUUAGGCUUUUUUUAGAAACUGCAAGAGCCAAAAUGACGCUAUUUUAAUAAAGACUAAAAUGAUGUCAUUUUAGCCCUUAAGGAUUUACGUGUCAAUCGGUGACUGACUCGGGGUCCGUGCACCUGACUCGCGACUCAUUUUUUCAUUUGACUUUUGGUCGAUCCAAUUAAACCGACCUAGACCAAACCAGUUCGAUGUCAAACCACCGAAUCGACCGAACUUGCGUUGACUGGAUCGUUGACUUGUUCAGUUCAGGUAAACAAAUUUUUGUUUAGAAUUUUUGAAAAUUUUUUAUAUAUUAUUUUUGUUAUUUUAAAUUUUAUUAUUAAUAUUUAUGCAUAUUAAAAUUUUUAUAUCUGUUAGAAUAAUUUUUUGUUGAAAUAAAUAAAAAUAAAUAAUGAAAUAUAUAAUUAAAUUUUUUUGAUAAUUUCGUUAAAAUUUGGAGUAAACCUUAUAAAAUAAUUGGUAAAAAAGUUAUAAUUAAAUAAAAAUAAUAAAAAUGUAAGGAAAAAAAUUUUUAUCUGACAAUGAGAUUCAAAGGUACUCCAAGUAGUGAUACCUACGAAAUCUUUAGGUGAAAAGAUUUUUUUUUAAAUACUACCAGUGUAUUGGAGUAUUUAUAAAAAAUUUUCAACACAAUAAAAAAUUUUCUUUUACUAAUAAAUUAAUAAUAAUAAUAAUAUAAAUGUAGAAAAAAGAAAUUUUACCAAUGAUGGGAUUCUAAAAGUAUUUCGAGUAGUGAUACUUUAUGAAAUCUUUAGGUGAGAAGUUUUUUUUUAAAAAUAUUACAAGUGUAUUGAAAUAUUUAUAGACAAACUUUAAUAUAAUAAAAAUUCCUUUUUUUAAAAAAAUUUAAGUAAAAAUAUAAAUCAAUAAAAUUUUUAAAAAUGAGAACAAAAUACAUGCAUCAACAUAUCAGCAUCUUGCGUUACAUGCUUAAUAAAGAUUUUACGAAAAGUAAAUUUGAGCCUCCAAUGAUGAGAUUUUAAAGUAUUCCGAGAAGAGAUACUAAAGAAAUAUCUAGGUGAGAAGGAGUUUUUCUAAUGUUACCAACGUACUGGAACAUUUUAAGAAUUAUUUCAAUAAAAGGGUUCUAAUUUAUUUUUCUCAAAUAAAAUUUGAACAAUAAAAAUGAAACAAUAAUAAAAUAAAAAAUCAAAAUUCCAAUAAACAACGAAAACCAAGGAAAUUAUUUUUCAAACACCGAAAAUAAGAUUAUUUUUAUCAAAAUUAACAGAUAACAUGUAAUUAAUUCAUACCAUAUUAAAUGGGUGUUGUGAGGGUGCUAAUCUUUCCCCACGUAAUCGACUCCUGAACCCAGACUGUUACGUAGACCCUUAAAUUAUCUUUUUAAUAAAGUUUAAUUAAUUUUAUGAUUUUAUUAAAAGGAUAUGUUUUAAUAGGUGGCCAAGUGCACCUACCCAAAAAAGAUUGGUGGCAACUCUGUUAUUUUUAUUUUGUUUCCAAAUUCGUUGGGUGGAUACAAAAUCGUUAUGACAGUUUGACGACUCCACUGGAAAGGCCAUUUGUUUUUUAGAGUUAGGCCAAAAUUAACUACGUGUUAUCCUCGAAUUUCGAUUUAAACAGUCUUAAUCGGUCUUUAGUUUUUAAUUCCUAGAUUUUUUUUACUUUCAAUAAAAAAAGCCAAACAAAUAAAAAAAACCCCAAAAACGAAAAGAAAAUUUUCAAACGUAUUUCUUUCAUUGUUUUUUUUUUUUCAUAUGUAUUAUUCUCAAUAAAUUAGAAAAUAUAUGCACACACAAUGAUACGAUGCAUAUCAUACAUGACCUUUAGACCCGAGCUCCAUCCUUUAUAGGAGGAAGUAAAGUAACUAUGCCUUCGUGAGGUGAUAACUUUCGCAAUGGCAAGUAAAAUACUUUCACUCAAGUUAAACCCUUUUCGUUCGUAGCCUGUAAUGGGUGAGGAUCGAGGUGCCUUACUAGUCUAGCGUGGAUGACAG
rnacentral:lncRNA from 1 species